rnacentral:lncRNA from 1 species
GAAUUCGUAAUCUUCCGCUUCACAUCCACGGCCUUGGCCUUCACAUUCGCCUCCUGAAUCCCAUCGAGACACGUCUCGUCAUCCGUGAGGGCGGCGCUCAGCCACGUCUGGGCAUUGCUCAUCUGGAAUCGAAACGUCUCCUUCCGGAGGUGGUGCAGCUCGGCGAGCGUCUCGCUCAGCUCGUCCACCGACGUCGACAUCAGGUCCACGCAGUCGCCGAUCGCCGAGAGCUGCAGCUUCGUCCCCUUGAAGGAGGCGGAGAGCUGGGCGAGGAAGCCGGAGACGCGGAGUGAGCGGGCGAGGCUAACGUUCACAGCGGCCUGGGCGAGGUCGCGGGGGGUCUUGGCGGGGCCGGCGUAGUUGGAUAGAGUGCGGAGGCAGAUUUUGGGGUAAGUGGCGUGGCGACAUGAUGAACGGACGAUAUUUGAUGCUGGGUGGUGUUUCCCUGCGGCGGAGGCGGAGUACAGCGAGCAGAAGAGGAGGACGAGGAGAGGGAGAAGAGAGAGUAGGAAACGCAUCGAGGAGGUGAGUAGAGUGAAGAUUGAAGAGUGUGGAAUUAAUCUGUGGCAGUGUUAGUCUGGUCGCUGGGGGGUGAGAGGUUGGGUAUAUAUAGGGGGCGUCUGUAGUGAACCAGUGACAGUGGGAAAGUAAACGGGCAAAUCUCCGUUUUAGACUAGGAAUGUUUAACAUUAGGUUAGCCUUGCCUUCCAAUAUCUUUCUAUUCGUUUAGAUAUACUUUUAAAAUAAUUGAAAACGUUUUUAGUGAAAAUAUUUUUAGAUUCCAAAAGCAUUUUAAGUGAUUUCUGCAAUAAACACUAAUUAUGUGCUUCUUUCAAGAAACACUUUAAGUAAUUUUUCAGGAUUCACUUGUAUUUUUACUAAGGAUUGAUUCAAAAAAUAUUAUCACCAAAAAUACUUUCAGUUAUUUUAAAAGCACAUCCAAACUAGCCUUUAAUAGUUUAAUACAAAACAUAGAUCACGUUAAUGUUUUUAAACUAAACUGCUUUAACAGAAGAAAAUAUAAAAAGAAAACAAAGAAUAUUGACAUUCAUAUUUUGCUGUCCGAUCAAGGAAUGAUUAAAAUAACUUUUUAUAUAUAGCGUCAUUCAAUAAUUCACUCAGGACAUUCGAAGAUAUAUUUUUAUCGGUUCACAAUUUCCUUACUUUUGUAAUCUUCUUUCCAAUAUGAGGUUUGGUUUUUCUCGUUUUUCUUUGUAUUGAUUCCAUCUAGGUAUUAUUCUUCUCGAUCACAUCUUAUUGGUCACUUCAUUUGAUUUUGAAUCAUUAAAACCUGUAUUGCUAUUUCUUAUUUACAGAGGAUAAACAACCCAAAAUCCUAGCCAUGCUCUUCUUUUUUUUCAACGUACAUUCAUUAAUAAGAACAUCAUUCAUCAUGAAUACAAUUCAGUGAUUACAAAUGCAACAAAAAGACAAUACAAAUUUUACCCCAUAUAACCGUAAAUCUAACCAAACGGAAGGAUAACACUCAUAAAGACAAAAUCUUGCUUCACUUUCUUAAUAACUUGCAAAAGACGACGCUCAUUCGACAAAUAAGUCAUGCUACGAGACAUCACGGAGAUGUCUUCAUAGUCCUUUGCCAAAAAAAACAACAAACAACGAAACCACAACCAAAACAAAAUAAACUCUUCAAAGGUACGAUUCCUCAAUCAUGGGAUACCCGCACCUAACUAACAAGAAAGAUAAGCUCGCAAUGCCUAAACCCAAUGAGCCGGCUGGACCUAACACCAUCAAGACUCGCAAGGUAAACAUCCUACCAUCACCUGAAGAAUUUGCAACGACAAUAAAACAUGAUUGUGAAUCCCUCAAACCACUGCAACAACCCCUCAAACGAAAGACCACACCACCCUUUGAUGACAAGACUCGCAGGGUAAACAUCCAACCAUCACCUGAAGAAUUUGCAACGACAAUAAAACAUGAUUGUGAAUCCCUCAAACCACUGCAACAACCCCUCAAACGAAAGACCACACCACCCUUUGAUGAUCUUCAAAUAGUCAACAAUCUUACUAUGAGUCACCUCCAACAAACGUGAGCUUCUUCCCAUAAUCCUUGCCAAAAGCACAAACCACAAAAUCACCACUUCAAAUUUGAACAACAAAUAUCACUUUUAAAAUCUGAAGUUGAGUAAUAAGUUAUUACCGCAACAAAAACUCUCAUCCUCAACUAUAAAAACUCUCCGCGACAAAACAAGCAAAAAAUAUGACUUUUCUCUUGGCGUCCGAGUAUCACCUCCUCCCUUUUCCAUUAUGGUGCGUUUCCUUUCCCUAUCUCGGUUUACUUUGUAUUGAUACCGUCUCCUGUAUCAAGAGAAGAAUACAUUACUAUCUAGUUAUUAGUCUUCUCCAUCACUUCUUCAUCGUCACUUCAAUCACAUCUUAACCGUCACUAAAUCGUUGAAUUUUUUUUUUUUUUUUCAAAAACCUACCCACGAUUUCACUCUCUAAUAUUGUUCUUGAAUUUAAAGUUGAAGACAUUAUUUCAAGUUUCAACCACUUCCCGUAAUUCAACCAACCCAUGUCUACAUUGUCCACGUAGAGAUUUCCAUCACCAGACUAUGUACUAUUUUAGAAUGAUAAAUUAAAUGGCAGUAUUGCUAUUUUUGUAGUGCUCAAGUGUCUUUUCUUGUUUAUGGAAUAGUCCUUACCAACAAUGAAGAUCAAAGUAACACUCAAACCGACAUUGACAGCUAUAACGAGUGCUUUUAUAAGACGCACUUCUGUUUAUAUAAAUUCCUUAAACCCAAUUAAAUUGCAUUUUUUGUGUUUUCUUCAAUUAACUUUACAUUUUUAUUUCAAAUGUUAUAUGAUAAAUGGUUUUGAUUUUUUCAAAAAGCUUUUUUUUAAACAAAACGAUAGUAUUUACACUAAGAGAAAUGAUGUGGGCUUAGUCUCACAAUGAGCAGGCAAAAUGUGGUUCAAAUUCGCCUUUAGCGAAAAUCAAACCUAAAACCUCUCGCUUACAAGUAAAUAACGUUUUUAAUCUUUCUAAAAGCACUAACAAACAAAUAUUAGUUAUUUCAAACAUGUAAUAGGGAAUUUAAGCGCCCCGAUUUGUGGCUAUUUUGCCUAGUUUUGGGGACCAGUGAAGGAGAUCCAAAUAAAUGCCCUGGUAGAAUAGCUCACCUUUCAGCCCAUCACCAACCAACUAAAAUAUGCAAACGUGUAUGUAUUAACCAAUAACCAAAGUCCACGACCAUCAUGUACGGUGCAAGCGCACCCUCUUACUUUGCUCCUCUCUCUAAUGGCGUUGUGUCACCAAUUUGUUUUCAAGUUUGUAACCAAGUGGUAUUCAAUACGUGAGGGGAACAAACGAAGACGGAUAUCCUAUUUUUCGGGAACAUAUAUCAUCGGCGACGUCUCCAAACUAAUCAUAAAUAACUGAGAGUCGUCCACCAACACGUAAACAACAAGAUCUAGAAUGCAUGAUUUACUAAAACAUAUAUAUGUAUUGUACAGUAUGAACACAUAAGCUCUAGCUUGUACACUAGAAACAAUGCGUCGAUCAAUGAGAUUGAUUGGCAUGGUUUAACCCUGCAAGAAACGUUGGCGUAAAACUUUUGAUUUUAUUUUUUAUGUUGCAGUAUUCAUUAAUCAUGCUUAUCAUUUAAAGACGUCAACAUUUAUUUAUUGAAAUAAGUCUGAUGAGAGAACGUUAUCUGUUUAAAAUUGUUGGGACUUCACAACUAAUUAUUUGAUGUGUUAUAGAUUAAUGAGAUGUAUUAGAAUUCGAAAAGCUUCGUAUUUGCACGAAAGAAUGUGAUGGGGUGGUGGGAGUUUGAUGGGGAAACAUGGGACCCUUGAUUUUUCAGGAAUUAUUUGCUGAAUUCCGAUAAGAAACGAAACCUUGUGAGCCCAGCAGAGCAGCAUUCCCAAGAAUUGGACAUGUAAGUGGUGAAAGUUCUGAAACAAAGCAUGUGAAUUGCAGUCUGGAAUCCGCUAUAAAAAUUCCUACCCCACUCUUUAAAUUGCACGAUGUUUAUAUAUAUAAUAUGUCAAUAUCUUAGGAUUUGUUUGUAAAUGUUUUUAAAAUGAUUAAAAUCGUUUUUUGUGAAAUUAUUUUUGGAUUCCAAAACCACAUGAAAUUCUUCUUACAAAAAACAUAUAAUUGGUGUUUCUUGCAGAAAGCACUUCAAAUAUUUUUUCAAGAUUCACUUAUAUUUUUACUAAAAAUUGGUUCCAAAAACACUUUUAAAGAAAUUGCUUUCAUCAUUUUAAAAACAAUUUCAAACUAACAUUUAUUUAUUUGAUAAACACAUUAUGCGCUGUCAAUUUCUGUAGGAAAUUUCAUCAAACUUGUCUUCACAAGUUUUGGUAAACACAAACUAACUAAAACUCGUGGGGAUAAGAAGUAUAGAGAUGAAAUGUAGAGAACCUGUGGGAAAGAAAUUCUAUAUGUACUAAAACCCGUGGAGAAAUCAAUGUAGCUUAGUAACAGUGCAUUUCCAGUUUUACACCCGCUUAUUUCAACUUCGCCCCGUUUGCUUCCUUCUUCUAUGCUCCUCCCCCCUCGUGUAAUAUGCCAAACCUUCAUCUUCAACUCGACCUCCCCCUUCACAAACUCCCUCCGGUCCCUUUUCUCUAUAAAUUGUAAUCACCGCCACCACCAGUUCGCUCAAACUUUGUCUAUAAAGCCUCUUUAAAUGCACAAGAAUUGAGAUUUUUGUAUCAUCAACAACAAAGACAUGAAAGUUGUCGCAAGAAAGAAGAUUACCUGACAAAGAGGAGGUUUUCUUGGAUUCUCAUCGUCUCUUGGGCCACCACUUCCACCUUCAUUUCCAGGUGCCUUUUAGGACCUGAUGUUGAACAGAAAUGAUGCCAACCGAAAGCAUUGUAACUUUCCCAUUCAACGUUGCCACGUUGAAGGCAAUAACGACGAGAAAUUUUUGAAGUCAAGCAAGAAAUCAAUGGCUUCUCCCGCAUAAAAAGCAUUUUUCUCACUCUCUUUUACAGUGGAAGAAGCUAUUGAUUUCUUUCUUGGCUUCGACAGUAUCUUCAAAAAUUUCUCCGCCGUUGUUGCCUUCAACAUGGGGACGUUGAAUGGGAAAGUUCCAUUAUCGAGGGGUGUUUUCUGUUCAAUAUUAUGGGGUCCGCAAAAAUGCACCCUGAAAAUGAAGGUGUUGGUGGUGAUCCAAGAGACGAUGGAAAUCCAAGAAACCUCCUCUUUUUUAGGUUAUCUUUUUUCUUGCUAUUAUUUUCAUGUCUUUUGCUGUUGAUCAUGCAAAAAUCUCAUUUUUCACGACUAAAGCUUGUAAGCACAAGGCCAUAUUAGAUGACUUGUAUGUCUGAGACUCUGAAUUGCCGUUACUAAACUUGUGAUUGCAAGAGAGAAAAUUGUUUAUUGGGCCGGCAAUGCCGUGGAAAAAAACAAAACUUCAUGAAAAAAUAUAUUCUCCCAUCACACUAAUUAUGUUUCUGAAAUGAAUGUGUGAAACAACUGUGAUCUUUAGUCAAUGCAAUUCUUAUCUUUUAAGUUUCAAGAAUUUCUGUAAAGCUUAGUAUUUGUGAAAAUAAUUCAAGUGUUUUUUUUUUUUGUGCAAAAAAUUAUUUUUUAUUUAAUUUUUUUUAUUUGGUUUUCACCUGAUAAAAUCGUUUGACAGCACCAGGCUACCAGCUACAUGCCAGGAGGCCCAGUUCAAAAUCUGUGGCGUGUGAGUUGUUUGAUAAAAGGUAGAGUGAAGAUAGGACAAUACUUGCGUUUCACGAAACAGUUGAUCUAAUUAUUAAAUAUAUUGUCACUUAGUACUACAGUAUAAUAGUAUUUCUCUUCACUUGUAAGUAAGAUGUAUUAGGUUUGAUUCUCACCAAAAACAAAUUUGAACCUUUGGUGAAUUUGAACUAUAUUAUUGCUAGUCUCUUGUGAAGCUAACCUCACUCUUCUCUUCCUUAAUGUAGAUAAUAUUGUUUGUUGAAAAAAAAAAAAGGCUAUUGAGCAUAUUGUAUUCACAAAUUGGGAUUUCAUGCUCAAAUAUUUGGGUACCAGUAAUAGUCCAUCUAAAUGUCCUACAGUUCGAGGGAAACUUACAUAUGUAUAUCUUUUUUAAAAAGAGACUUGCAACGAUAAUUUGUAGGAAGAAUACUUUUUAGGGAACUUUAACGAAAAGCAUCUGGUACUGUUCAUUUUAACGAAAAACCACAUUUUUACACUAAAAAGUCAAUCCUGGUACUAUUCACUUUACUCUUUAUUUUGUCCUUAUCAUUAAAACUCAAAGUUUUCAAACCCUUUUCAUUAGUUUUCCUUACUUUCUAACGAGCGUUUGGAAAUAACUUAUAUACAACAUACGUAUAUCUUUUUAGAAGAGACUUGGCCACAAAAAUAUAUGGGAUUUUAGCUAAAAUAGCCUUAUUUGCAAAACACAAUUCCAAAGAAGUCCAUUUUGCAAAAUAGAAUCUGCAAUGGGCACUAACUAUUGGUUAAUUGCAUAUCAGCCCAAAUUUAUUAUUAUGAUAUCAUCAUUAUUCUGUCACACUGUUGUCAUUAGCUCCAAUUUGUCAUAAUAUUAAAAUAAAAUUCAAAAAAUGAUCUUUAUGUGGUUAUUCUUGUUGUAGGCCUAUUUGACUUAACUGUAUUUAAUACAGAGAGGGAGAAGGGUCGGCGACAACAGAGAUAGAAGAGUGAGAUGUAAUUUUGAGGUAUGUGUUGUAUCAUCCUAUUGUGUCUUUAUUUAUAGUAGUAGGGAAGAUUAAAUCAUUACCCUAUUAGGAUUACAACUCUAAUAGGAAUUUAACCACUAAAGAGAAUAUACAAAGAUACUCCUAGAUACACUAGGAUUUACAUAAUCACAUUCCUAAUCCAAUAGAACUGCAACACUCCCCCUUGAGAGUGUAAAUACUCAAACAAAGCAUCACAUCAGAUCUUAAGCAGAUAAGGUAGAACAGUUGAUGAAGUCGUCGGCACAACGGGUGAAUGGGAGUCUCAAAUUUAAAAGAAAGUAUGCAUGGGUAGUAAAACUCAUAAACACUUUGCUCUAGUAAAACCUAAGGCAGGUGAAAACCCAUAGACUAAGGAGAAAAGUGAGAAGUAUGCAUAAUGUCUUAAAACAAACGUCAAAUAGGAUGAAAAUAGUGAACUCAACGGAGUAUGAUCAUCACAGGAUGAGUGCCUCGUUUAAACCUCUUUAGGUAGCAAAACCCCAGUGGGAAAAAUGUUCCUAAUCAUAAGAAAAAUAGUAUAUUAAGAUCAAGUGAGUAUGCUUCAAGAUACUCCUCUUGAGUUAUACAUAACUUCCAAAUAAGAGAAAGUAAUUCAACUCAGAUAAUUUACGCAUACCGAUUCCUUGGACGAGCUUCUGAAAAGUAGACUUAAACAAUGACUUGGUGAAGAGAUCGGCCAAGUUGUCUUGGGAACGGAUUUGCUUGACUUCAAUGUUUUGAUGAUAUUGUUGCUGGUGAGAAUAAAAUAACUUCGGCGUUAUGUGUUUGGUGUUGUCUCCCUUAAUGUAACCAUUCUUUAACUGCUCGAUACAUGUUGCAUUGUCUUUAAACAUCAUCGUAGGAAGGUCAAUGACAGAAGUAAGACCACUAGUGCUUCGAAAAUGUUCCAUGACUGCUUUCAACCAAAAGCACUCAAACAAUGCUUCAUGCAAGGUGAGAAUCUUAGCAUGGUUCGAAAAAGUCGCAACUACCGUUUGCUUGAUAGACCUACAAGAUAUAGCGGUGUCUCCAAUGGUAAAUACAUAACCUGUUUGAGAAUGUGCCCUAUAUGGGUCAGACAGAGAACCAACAUCUGUGUAACCAACGAGGUGAGAAUAAACUCAAGUGACAGAGGGGGGCGGUGGCUUCUCUCAAGGAUUCAUGGGUGUAGAACAAGCCCAAAUCAAUCAUACCCUUAAGGUAGCGAAACAUAUCUUUAACACCAUUCCAGUGUCUGCGUGUAGGCGUAUUGCUGUAUCUAGCCAAAAGAUUAAUGGUGAGAUAUAGGUCUAGUGCAUUGAGCCAAGUACAAUAAAGCACCAAUUGCACUUAGGUAUGGAACUUUAGGCUCCAAAAUCUCUUCUUCAUCCUCCUUUGGACUGAAGGGAUCUCAUUUAGCAUCUAGAGUCCGAACGACCAUAUGAGUACUCGAAAGCUUCGCUUUAUCCUCAUUAAAACGUCGCAACACCUUUUGGGUGUAGUUCGAUUAAUGUACUAAGAUUUCAUUCGAACAAUGCUCGAUCUCUAGGCCGUUUUCCCAAGAUCUUUCAUCUCAAAUUCCAAUUUCAAGUGAACGACGAUUUCCUCAAGCUCUGCGGGAGUUCCAAUGAAGUUCAUGUCGUCGACAUAAACUACAACGAUUGCAAAUCUAGAAUGUGACUUCUUUAUGAACACACAUGGGCAUAAUUCAUUGUUCACAUAACCCUAACUUGUCAAAUAUUCACUUAGAUAGUUAUACCAUAUCCACUUAAAUUGUUUCAAUCCGUAGAGUGAUCUCUUCAAUCUAAUCGAGAAAGUGUUCCGUGGUCUAAAACUAUUUGAACCAGUCAAUGGAAGUCCUCCUAUAACUUUUAUGUACAUUUUUGUAUCUAGAUCCCCAUAGAGAUACGCAGUUACCACGUCCAUAAGCUGCAUAUUCAGUUUUUCAAAAACUACCAAACUAAUAAGAUUGCAAAACGUUAUGAUGUCUAUUACAGGGGAAUACGUCUCCUCGCAAUCGAUCCCAGGGUGCUGAGAGAAGCCUUGCGCUACGAGGCGUGCUUUGUAUCACAUUAUUUCAUUUUUUCUCAUUACGCUUGCUCACGAAAACCUACUUGUAGCUCACGGGCUUCACAUGUGGGGGAGUAGGAGCUACAGGCCCAAACACCUUACAUUUCGCAAGCGAAUUAAGUUCGACCUGGAUUAAUUAUUUCCAGUUUGACCAAUUUGUUCUAUGUCGACAUUCAUCAACGGAACGUGGUUCAAUGUCAUCGCUAAGCAUGAUGUCGGAAGUAACGGUAUAUGCGAAUACAUCAUCGACAAUCAUCUCAUUCUGAUUCCAAACCUCAUCCAAUACUGCGUAAUGGACCGAAAUCUCAUGAUUCUUGGGAGGCCGGUAUGUUUCAUCUAAGACAUCGCCGUAAUCUAAAAUAACCACAUGCGUUGGAACAGAUGAGUAAACAAUGGUUGGAUUCAUACUAUGGUCACUAGUUUGUGCCAUUUUCCUCUUCUGAGGUUGUGAAUCAUUUGAACUAGGGGGGCCUAUCACGCUUCAGGGUAGAAAUAGGUGAUUGGUUAGCUGCCAGUGUACCGAGCCACGUGGGAGGUGCGGCCACCCCACCCUCGGGGACAGUCCGGUUCCAAGGCAGUGUUACGGUGUACGUUAAGUACGUCCAUCUUUGCAAGUGUGUUUGCAAUUGGUAUAUGUGAUCUCAUCACCUUUGCUAGAUCAGUAAAAGCAUCUGGCAUACUUUAAGUGAUGCUCUGAAGAUCUAUAAUACAUCGCACUUCAAUUUCAGACUGAGGGGUAUGGGGAUCUAAAUGAGACAUAGUGGAAGUAAUCCACGAUAAUUCGUGGCGUUCUACAUGAACGUUAAUGAUCUUAUCUCCCCCCAAUGACGGUAAGAUUGUCUCAUCAAAGUGACAAUCCGCAAAACGUGCUAUAAAGAGAUCUUGUAUCAAUGGCUCUAAGUAGCGAGUAAUUGAUGUCAAAUCAUAACCAACACAGUCUCCUAUUUUUCUCUAAGGACUCAUUUUAGUACUUAGUGGAGGCACUAUUGGCACAUAAACGGUGCGCGCAAACACACGUAAAUGCAAGAUGUCAUGCUCGUAUCCAGUAACCAACUAUAACGGUGAAUAAGGUUGGGUAGCGGUGGGCCUCAGGUGGACCAACAUAGCUGCGUGCAAUAUUGCAUAGCCCCAGCAUAUAUUAACAAAGUUUUUCGCAUAACCAAAGUCUGAGCUAUCGUUUGAAGGCACUUUAUGAAAGCUUCUGCAGGUCGUUUUGGGUGUGAACAUGGGGUACAUGAUGUUCAACUUCAUUCCCAACAGACAUGCAAUAAUCGUCAAAAGUCUGUGAUGUAAACUCUCAAACAUUAUCCAGUCGAAUCGACUGGAUCGGAUAAUCAAGGUGGUGAGCCCUAAGCUUAAUAAUUUGUGCUAAGAGUUUCGCAAAUGCAGCAUUGCGUGUGGACAAUAAGUAGACAUGUGACCAUCGCGUCCAUACAUCAACCAACACCAUGAAGUAUCUAAAUGGUUCGCAUGUUAGUUGGAUAGGUCCAUAAAUAUCCCCUUGAAUCCGCUGAAUAAACUUAGGGGGGUCGUGAAUAAUCUUUGUAAGUGAGGGUUGAAUGUUCAACUUCCCCAAGGAGCAUGCUUUGCAAAGCAGAUGGCCGGGAUAAGAUUUUAAGUAACACCCAUGUGAUACUUUGAGGAUACGACGCAUCAUAUCGCGUUCGGGGUGUCCCAUUCGACCACGCCAAAGCAGGAGAGUGUUUUGGAACUUGGCCAUAAGGGCGGCCAAGUGAUGAGUCUCAAUGGCGCAAAUGGUUGUUAUGUACAACCCACUCGGGAGACGUUCCAGCUUCUUGUGAAUACUCUUCUGGCCAUAUUUGUAAGAAGUGAUACUAAGAAAUUCGGAACCAUUCUCUUAUGUGGUUUCAACAUGAUAUUGAUUAUCUCGAAUAUCUCUAAAACUCAGCAGCGUUCUUCUGGAACGUGGAGAAUAUAGUGCCUUUUUAAUGGUUAAUUCAGUAUAAUUGGACAACAUAAUAUUGGCCUUUCUGUAUCCUUCUAUUAGGUUGGAUAGGCCUGAGAGGUGUCAUAUGUGCAUUUUUAGGUACGAAGUUAGUAAAAUAGUGUUUAUCAUGUAAUAUGGUGUGUGUGGUGGCACUAUCAGCCAAAAUUAACUUUCCCACUAGUUAUGCCUAAUCGAAUCGAUCAUAUGCAUAAUUCCAUUCAUUCAAUUAAUCAAUUUGAGAAAUAAUAUCCAUAAAGUAAUUAUCCAUAAUUCAAAACAAACCAAAACCAAACAAAUAAUUCCAAAGACUUAGAAAUUGUCCGAAAAUUAAACCAUAAACCUAAAAUUUAAGGGGGGGUUCGACCAUUCUAGUGGGUUCGGCCACUAGGGGUGUAAAACGCCCUAACAUGUCUUAGAAAAAUAAAACUUUAUUCUUUUAUGAGAGUGGAUGCCUCCUGAAAAUCUAAAAUCUUUAGAGUUGUAGUAAUAUCUUCGGCAUGUUCUAGAAGUGCAAAGUUAGACUCACGACGGGAAUGAUACUUGGCAACAGCCUCGGGGGUAGCUCGGCAUACGUGUGACCAAUAAUCCUUUGAUCCAUAGCGAUAACACAUGUCUAGUUCAGUGGAAGCUGAUUGAAUGGUAGCUUUGCCCCUUGUUCUUGAAGUUUAGGACCUUAAGGGCAAGGGGUUGGCGUUUCUGGGUUAAAUUUUCUCCCAUGGGUGGGCUUCUGUUUUGUUGACCUUGGGCCUGUGGUGGGGCUUGCCGUCCAUUUCCACGGCCAUGACCGGAUUUCCAUCGAUUGUGGUUGCUAGAAUGAGUCGCAUGCACUUCAAGUGGAUCGUUCGACCUAAUGGGUUGAGCUUGAUGAUUCUUCAUCAAAAGUUGGUUUUGCUUUUCAGCGAGAAGUAAAACAGAUAUCAAAUCCAAAAAUUUGGUGAACUUAUGUGCUCUAUAUUGUUGCUACAGGACAAUAUUGGUGGCAUUGAAGGUCGAAUAAGUCUUAUCUAGGAGAUCUUGCUUGGUUAAGUCUUCUUUAUAGAACUUAAGCAUUGAUCGGAUUCUACAAACUUCAGAGUUAUAUUCAUUCACAUACUUAAAGUCUUGAAGCGUAAAUGCUGCCAGUCAUGUCUUGCUUCAGGUAAGUAAAUGUCUUUCUAGUGGUCGAAGCGAUCGACUAAAACAAGAGGGUACGUGGAUACUCUUCUGCGAGGUACUUGGUCUACAGUGCAUCAUAGAUGUGUCUGCGGAUGAAGAUCAUAGCAAUAGCUUUCUGAGUUUCGUAGACAGGUUCAUCGUCGGUAGGUUCCUCGAUGGUAGCUCUAAGACUCUUUGCAAUAAGAUGGAGUUUCACGUCUUGAAUCCACUUCAGAUAGUUUAUUCCAGCGACUUCCAGAGCGGUGAAAUCGAGCCUGUUUAAGUUCAAUAUGUCCCUAAAACAUAUGGUAUAAUGAAAUGUGGUUAGUCAUAUGGAAAGCCAUAGACAUAUAUUGUAGAACAUUCGGGUUCUAUAGACAUGUAUUGGUUUAAUUUAAGCAUGAAAGCUACGGGUUUCAUGUGGUAAGUUUAGAAUGAAAAUUUCGGGUUUCAAAGACACAAAAUUUGAAACUACAGGUUCGAUUUAGUUAUGAACGUUUAGUUCAUAUAUAGGGGUACUUGUAAGAACACAUAAUACAAUAUACAAUAAAAUGUGGUGAAUUUGUGGAUUGCUUCAGGAACCCAAGUGUGAGUGCUUCGGGACUAUGAAAGAUAGUCAAUGAUUCAAAGAAACAAAAUAAUUUAUUGAAUCGUUAAUUGCCAAAAAGUGAACUUCAAGCCAAUAAUUUUGGAUUAAUUGUCAGAUUAAUGGACUGCUGGUCACUUUAAUUAAUUCAAUAGAUCGUAACCAUUCAUGUUUGAUUGUAGAAGCAAAAAUAAUAAUAACAUUUAAGUUAAAAUUAUAGAGAAUGCCAAAAAUAACAUUGGAUUCGAAAAACCAUAGCCCAAUAUCGGUGGGCUUGGGUGUCGUGUGCAUGGCAAAGCCUUAAAAGGGCUUAAUGGGCCACGAGUGUCACAUCCCGGCCCGGGGUCCAUUACAUCCCGGGCUCGCUCCACCACCGUAGCACGAUAUUGUCCGCUUUGGGCCCCGACCACGCCAUCAGGUUUUGUUUCUAGGAGCUCACGAGCAACUUCACCAAUCCUUUCAGUGAUCUCAUAAGGUCCUAAAAACCAAGUAGUGGUCUCAACCCAUCUAUUAGCAAGAAGAUUCCCUUGACUAGCCAGGUUUCGAUCCUGGGACCUGUGGGUUAUGUGCCCACCACGCUUCCGCUACGCCACUCUGAUACCAAACUGACACACCCCGAUCCUAGAAUCAAGGCGUGCUGGCCGUCACAUGAGUGUAACGUAACCAAAAGUGUGACGUGACGUAGAAGCAAUAGGUAAGAGAAUUACGAAGAAAUAAAAACCAAAUACUAGCAGUAAUAUCCAACUAGCAUGCUAGAGUGAAUUUAAGUGUGAAACACACAUAUUCAGAGCGUAAGUACUAGGUGCAGUCAAGUAAGACCAUAACUAAAUUAUAACACCCGAAGGUGAGUCCUACAUUUAUGUAGUCUGUCAGUACGCCGUGGAAAUCCUCGUGGGCCACCAACGCUGCUAACUAGAACCUGGAGGGGCGCAAAACAAAAUUGAGUAGGUCAGUAAAACAAAGUUUUUUGAAAACAUUUCAAUUAAUAACAUUUCUAACCCCUCGCUGUAAAACCUGUAUACUUUCCCAGAAAAUAACAUAAUAUACAUAUAAAUCUUUAUAUAUAUCUCAAAUCACCAAUCUAUAUCAAAAACCAAAAAGUAUGCCAUGUUAAACGUCAAUAACAGAAUAAGGAUGCAUCAAUAUAACAGGUGAAGUAAUGAAUCAACCGGAAACCCUGCAGUUGGUCAUGUACGGUUAAUUCUAAAGCUCAAUAUCCCAUCCAACCGGAGUCACCGCAGUGACCUGUACGGCGCUACUCUGCACAUAAAUCGGAACUACCUGAAGUAGUCUGUACGAUAAGAAGGUGUAAGAAUACGCUCUAGUGCUUCUCUCAUCAACAGCUGUAUAAUAAUCUAAAAUCACCUACAGUCGGAACCACUCUAUGGUCUGUACGACAUGUCAGAACCCUCUAAUGGUCUGUACGACAUGCACUUACUUGGAUCCAAGGUGAGCGUGCGGUGCGAGGUGAAUAAUAUAAGCACUAACACCAAGGGUGCAGGUUAUGAGCUUUCAACACAAUUCACAUCAUCAAUAAAUCAUAUGAACAAUAUAAACUCACCUGAUACUCACCUGUGACGGCCAGCACGCCUUGAUUCUAGGAUCGGGGUGUGUCAACGAGUUAUUGCGGGACAGCCCAAUCAUGGUUGCAGGCCAUGUGCCGUUUCUAGGUAAGCCCAACCGCAAAGGUUGGCUUGUUGUGGUCUCAGGCUAAAGUGCUAGCAAGCCUCGCAUUCGCUGGCUUGGGUUGAGGCGCUAAAAAGCCCAACCGAAGCUGACUUGGUGGUUAGGCCUUGACAUGGUGAGCCCUACAGCCAAGAAAGUUGCUGCUUUCGGGCCGGGGCAAAGGGACGAGCGUAGCAAGCUUCAAGCAUGCUAGUGAUGGGCCUAGGGCUCAUGGACAAACCCAGUAGAGCUUCGGGCUGUGCUGAAGUGGGCUAGGGCUGCAGGCCUAACUUAGAAACCCAAGCAUGCAUUCGGCUUGGCUCUCCAAUGCGUGCAACAAAGCCUAAAAGGCUGCUACAAAGGUCCAUGACGUCAAACGACGUCGUCGCAAGGCGGUGGCGUGGCUGCAAGUCAACCAACUCAGCUCGAUGCCCGCGGCAGCAUGGCAUGAAGCCAUGGCUCGACCGCAAAAAAAUCCCAAAUUUUUUUUUUCAAUUGCUAGGGUUAAAGACCCUAAUUGCUUCUAAAAUAAUUUCGAUACUUUGACUCACAAAUUCCACAUAGCAUAAUUACGUAUUGCAUGAACAAGUAUAUAUAUUGACAAAAUAUAUGAACACAUAUACAAUAUAUAUAAUUGUAAAUAAAAUAUAAAUAUAUAGGGUCCAUGCAUCAUGAGAAAUGUUUUCAUGCUUCAAGGUUUUUUCAAAUGUCUUAAUUUAUUUUAAAAGAACCUGAUUGGCAAAAAAUGUAGAAGAAACCCUCAUCCACGAUCCUUCAGUUCCUUAGAUUCUGGCAAGAGCGUGUCGAUAACGUUUUGUAAGCCUAUUUGAUUGAACUGUAUUUAGGAGAGAGAGGGAAAAGGGCUGGCGGCAACAGAGAGAAAGAGAAGAGAGAGAUGUAAUUCUGACGUAUGUAUUGUAUCACCCAUUGUGCUUUUAUUUAUAGUAAUAAGAAAGGUUAAAUCCUUACCCUAUUAGGAUUACAACUCUAAUAGGAAUUUAACUACUAAAGAGAAUGUACAAAGAUACUACUAUAUACACUAGGAUUUACACAAUCACAUUCAUAAUUCAAUAGCACUACAACAAUUAUAUCAUCAUUAUCUCAUUCUUAAGGCUUCAAAUAGAUCAUUAAUUUGUCAUUUUAUCGUCAUUAACUCCAACUUGUCAUGAUAUUCCAAAAUUUCUAAAAUUCACCCACAUUCCACAACCUCCUCCCACAACUUUUCAAGUUGGUGUGGGGCUUUAAAAUAGCAGAAGUUGAGCUUGGAUUCAAUCAUUCAAGGCCACCAUCCGCAAACCUCCUUCUCUUUGUAGAAAUCGAAUUGAUCCGAUCGAUUGAUUCAUCACUCUUCUCUAUCUCGGAUCCAGUCCUUCCGAGCAUCACCAUUUUGAUGGGUUGAGAUGAUGGGAAUGAAGAUGAGGUGUAGAGGUAACGGAGGAGGAGUCUCCGGAGUUACAGAGGCGAUAAAUGCCGCAUUUAAAGAGAGAAACAGAGAGAAAGGUGUUUUUUGUUUUUUUAAUUUCUGGAAUGAGGAAUGAAAUGGGUUAAUGUGCAAUUAAUCGAUAGUUAGUGGCCACUGCAGAUUAUGUUUUACAAAAUAAACUUUUUUAGAAUUGUGUUUUGUAAAGGAAAUUUUAUUUGAACUCAAAUAGCUUCUUUUUAUAUCUAGUUUACUCUUUACACUUAUAUUAUUUUUAAUUAAAUUAACAGUAUAUAUUUGAACUUAAAUUUACUACCUAAAUUAAUUUCACAACCCCAAUUUAAUAUGUAAAUUUAUCUCUACACCAAUUGAAAAAUUAAAAACCAAAAUCAAAGCAUUCUUUCCUCUGACGCUCUCUCUUAUCAACAGUUGCUUUUGAUGGAGUCUCCAUUAACCUCUACAGUGUUGCUCUCGAUAAAUCUCAUAUUGAUUUGUCUAACCAUGUCAAACAAGCCGUUCCUUCUAAACUACCCUCUUGCAUUUAUUUAUUUUGGCUUCUCCAGCACACUCGCUGGUGUGCAUGUAUUUGAACCUAGAAGCAGGCAAAGGAAGAUGGAAGAAAAGCUAGUUGAGAGCAACUCCAUUUGCUGAUAAAAUUUCUUGUUUAUUUGUACCUAGUGCUGUCAUUUUUGGUGUAAAAGAAAGAAGCAUGAACAUAAACAUAAAAAUUGUAUUACUAAUAAAUUUUUUAAUAACAUGAUUUGCAAUGAGUGUUCAUUUUUUGUUGGGGUUUAAUUACCGGGUGUGAGUUUUUAUUGAUAGAUUUUAUUUUUAUUGUUAAUUUUAUGUUAUAUCUGAUGGUAAUUAUACAAUAGGGUAAUUAUGCAAAGCAUGCUUUCCUAUGUACCUUUGUUGCAGACAAGUUCUCGUGUCCGCGGUCAUUAAGAAUGACGCUUCCCAACGUAACAUAUGGCUGCAAUUGGCUGUGGUUUUGGUGGGAAACACAAAACAACCAUAGCAACUGGACACCUCCUGCCUGGAACCCACCAUGCAAAUAAUCGACACAGAACAGACAUUUGCUCCCCCAAAACAAGAAGAUAAUCUUGCUUGCAACCGAAUAUAUACAUCGCUUUAACAUAAGAGGCAAUGUAUUUCAUUGACACGCCAUUUUCUCUCCACAUGGUAGGCAAGUUGAGACCAUGAUUGCUUACUGUAACAUUCAUUACGUGAUUUACAACAAGCACAUAUGGGCAAAAAUAUGUAGACGCAGGCCUUUAGCCUAUCGAAUUUUUCCGCAUUUUUUCUAUUUAUCCUUAUAGUUUAUCCUAAAUCUCUUUUAUGCACCGAUCGAUCUUACUCGUAAGUAAAAACUUGCAUCAUCCUAUCCCAAUCUACAUUGAAAAGUUGGUUACAUGGUUGCAAUCAGUAUUGUCUAUCAUUCGUAACACAUCCAUAAUAUAACAACUACCCCCACAUUAGUCUUAAUAAUUAAUUAAUUAGAUGCUAUCUUCUCUUACAAUUCAUUGGGAUCGUUGAUAAGGGCUGAAACUUGACACGGAUAAAGCCAACUUUCUUGUGGUUGAGAAUCGAAGGUUGUUAAUGUAAGACAUAUUCUGAAAUCACAACAAGAAGAUAUUAGGAUCACGAAUAAAUCAAAUCAAUAUGAAAUAGAGAUUGACUAAUUAUAUUGAACUUAUCUGUAGAAUUCGGAAGACAUGGUUAUGAAGAUGAAGUCAUUGAUGAACUCUAGGUUGUCUUUUCCUUCCAAUACUUCAAUAAUAUCUCUCUGCUAUAUGAAUAAGGUUUAGCGUAUCUGAGAGAUUAAGCGUAUGGAAGUAGGGACUUAACAAUAGUAUUUAUAUUAUUAGGGUUUAAUCACAACCAGCUUAUUGGUUGUGAAAGUCAAACCCUAUCACUUAAGUGUUUAAGUCCCAUCAUGAUACUAUUGUAGACAUCGAAAUUUCGGUAAAUAAAUGUUGACCGAUAAAUUAAAGUUUCAACGCUCAUGUAUUACAUAAAUUUUACACGUAGCGUGUGACUCAACGAAAAUUGAAAUGAGUUGGAAAAGUCAUCAAAUAGGACACGUGUCAACACCUGGCAGAAACGACUUAUUUCAUCUGGGAUAUUAUAUUCAAAAUUAGGCCUUGGAAAAUUCUAUAAAUACAAGCCAAUUUCAUUCAUUUGGAGGAAACCAAUUCAUAUUACACCUUGAAGCUCUGAAACUCCGAAGCUCUCAAGCAUCCAGGUUCCCGAAGAAUCAAGAAAGCCUUCUUCGUUCUUCGUUCAUCGUUCUUCCAAGAUCAAGCCCCGACGGCUCUUGAAGAAAGUGUUCUUCGUUCAUCGUUCAUCCAAGAUCAAGCCCCAACGGCCCUUUGGAUCAACGAACGUCGACAAAUCCAUACAUCCAACCGUUCUUCAAGAUCAAGCCCAAAAGCCCUUGAAGACCCGUUCAUCACUGUUCUUCAAGAUCAAGCCCAAAAGCCCUUGGAGAUCCGUUCAUCACUGUUCUUCAAAGAUCAAGCCCAAAAGCCCCUUUGAAGAUCCGCUCAAAGCCACCUUCAAGAUCAAGUCCACGGCCCUUGAAGAACGUUCAUCCUUAGAUCAAGCCCAACGGCCCUUUGGAUCAAUCACACAUCCACAAAUACACACCUUACGGAGAUCGAAUCAGAGGAUCAAAAUAGAGAGAGAUUGUAACCCAAAAUCAUCAAAUACAAAUAUUUGUUUGUGCACGUUGUUCUUGUCUCUUUCGUUUCAGGAAUUUUCUGUGUUCACAACUAUAUCUUUGUAGUGAAAUCCAUCAAAUUUCUUUAGGUCAAUUGCAAAGGAUAAGACUCCAUAAUCCUUAUUUCAUGAGGACUAUCAAAUUACUUAAGUUGUUAACAACUCAAUAAACAAGUGGCCUACAAUAAGUAAUCCAAUACAUCAUUCAUUGUCAUUCUGUUUGGACCCAUUUUUACAAUAGCGGUCCGAGCAAUCAAGGCCGUCGGAUGAGCAAGGUUUUAAGCCAUUGAACGACAAAGUGGUUGAAAUAAAUUAUGAUUAAGAUAAUGUUGGGAUUUUAAUCAUAAUUUAUUAAACCUAGUUUUUAUCUAAAACCCCAAUUUGUUCGUAGGAUGGUGGGGCAUCAGGCCAUUUUAUAAAGAAUCAUAAUGCAUUACUGCAUUAUUGGUGAAUGUUUAUGGAUUGGUAUAGAUUUUUGCGCAUGCAUGAAGAUAAGGAUGCCAAUUUGGAUUUAAUCAGCCGCAUGCUUGGCGUUGGUCAGUCGUACAUGCAUAUUAUUGGCAUAUUUCAAGACGGGAAGUUUAUCGGCAGAAAGGGAUAUGAUCCUUGGCUAAGGGAUAUGAGAUAUAAUUUACAACCAGAUGCAACUCCACAAGAUAGAAUCCAAUUAGGACUCUCCAAGAGUAUCAAGUUGUGCCAAGCGGAGGGGUGUAACAUUCACUAUAAGUAGAGAGGGUUGCGCACCAUUCAAAGGCCUGACAAUUCAACACAAAACUGCCCGCAAGCUUUCUCAACAACUUUGAGAUUUUUUCUUUUCCUUUCUCGCUGACACAUCUUCCGUUGGCAUCAACAGCACUGUGAAAGCAACCGGUGAUAUCUUAAGUCGUCAUAGAUAGCUCUGUCAUCGUAGAAUCAGUCGGUCUCGCAGUAUCUUCCGUUGGCAUCAACAGCACUGCGGCGAGGACGGUUGGUUACCUAUCCAAGUCUCAGUCGAGAAGGAUUUCCGGAUCCUGAUUGAUUGAGGUCAUCUUAUUAGCCUCCUCGGCGAAGUGAGGUGUUACAGUAUAUCGAGCUUGGCACAUUGCACGCCGAGUUAUUUUAUGAUUGGAUAUUCCCAAGUGGGAUUUAGAGUUCGGCAUUCGAACGGUCGAACCACGUUCACCAUUAAAACUUAUAUUCGCUUUGAGUAUUUGUGCCCUUACACUUUGGUGUCGAUUUGGCGUGAGUUUACUCUGACGAAUAACAUCACUGUGACUGAAUCCGACGACGACUCGUGAACUUCGUAAGAAUAGUAACCUUGUCUUCAGGUUCGAGCACCCAAGAGGCCGAGACGCGUUCCUUCCUCGGUCGCAAUCGCAAGACGCAGGAGUCAGCCGCGCACCCAACGCAACAUCAACAAAUUUAGUCCUCGGCCGAGCUCGGCCGACGAGUUGGCACGCCCGUAUUCACCGAAGGACGUAGUUAGCUUAUAGAUUAUUCGGCAUGCGCGCCACGUAGGCUUGGUAGUUUCUAGGGUCAACACAUUCACAACCUUACAUUCUCCCACUUGAAUGUCAAUGAUUUAUCCUAACAAAUAAGAACUCAUGGUGAUCACUGAGUCUUCAUAAGUGUGCAACAACAUUUCCUAGCAACCUGUCACUUUGAAUCGAAUGCAAAACCAAAGAAAACAAAGAACAACUUGGUAUGUUCCUUGCACUCCAAGAUCACAUACACAUUCAACUUAAAGCACUGUGUUGCUAACAAAGUCAUGGUGUCAAGAGCUAAUAGUCAAAACAUUAGCUCACAAUAGUCGAACUGAAAAUAUGAAAAUAUAUUUCAGUACAAAAAUAGUUCACAAAAGAACUCAACAAUGUUGGUAACAACAUCCAACUUUUCUGUCAAUUUAGAAUAUGAUAAGAGAACAAGUAAAAUACAACAUACUAUUUACAAAAUCAGGAUCUCUUAUUAAAACUUAUGAACAAAACUUAAACAAAAACUCUUAAAAUAUCAGCCUCUAACGCUUCAAAAUUUUAACACAAAAGAUAAUCUCUUACUCCCACUGAUUAAAAAAGACAAAAUUAUAUAAAUUAUUAUUACUCCCAUUGAUUAAGAGAGUAAAAAAUUCUUUGUAAAGGUCUACAGAAUGAAACAGAUACCUUUCAAAUACCCCCAUUAGCAAAACAUUAGUCAUGGGAUCUAAAACAUAAAAUUUAAAAGAGCUCAACAUCUUUAUUCUAGAUAUCUGUAGGGAAGUGAUUCUUGUGACUGAAAAACUAUACAAAAUCAUUUGGUCAGUUUUGUUCAUCUAACAUUUGACAAAAAUAGAAAACUUUAACUAAAUAUUUUCUUACUGCAUCAAAAACAUAUAAUUCUAGAAUCACCUUUAGACAUAAACUAAUUAUAUUAGGUUUGCAUAGCUAAAACAUAAAAUACAAGGGCAAACGUAUAGCUUCAACACUUUUGAGCUGAUGAAGUAUAUGCAAUCUUGUCAAUUUCAUGUUUCACUAUGCAUUGAUUUAUAGUUGUAUUGAAUAAGAAAACACUUUUGAGCAGAUUAAUUAUUCAUCAAUAACAUAUAAAUCACAAGUCCAAUUUCUUGAACAACAAACAAGAAUUAAUAAACAAAACACUUUUGAGCAGAAUAUACUCAUUGACCAUUAAAAGCAUUAUUAUAACCAAAACUUGAUGAUGUGAGAAGCCCAUAAUAUAUUAUUUCUCCCACUUGGGCAAACACUCAAAAUUGCAAGAUUAAACACUAGAGAAAGUGGUUUUCAUAUAACAAAAUAUAGGCUAGUUGAAUCAAUAAAGAUAGUGUACACAAUCCAUUAUAUAAUAUAACAUGGCAAAUUUGUACAAAGUUUGGAGUUAGAAAAAUCUAUCAAAAUUGUAAUCAAAUAGGACAUGUUGCAAGGUAUGCAAAACUCCAUCAGUAUUUCCCAAGCUCCACUAAAAUUUUAGAUUUAAUCAUAAUUUAAAUAAAACCAAUUUACAAUCUUUAAUAUGCUCAAAACACGAAAAUUUCUUAAAUAAAUUUGCUGAGUCACAAAAUAGUGAUUUGGACAUAAUAAACCAAUCUAUAUGUAUCAAAAUUAGGAUUAUAUAAGGAACAAUAUCUCAACAUCAUUAAUCGAUAAAAGUGACAAGUGAUUAGAUAAACCAAUGGCUACAAAAUUUAUUUUAGUGUAUGAGAGAAAACACAUAUGUGUUAAAGAUUAUGUCAUAAAUUAAAAUGAAACCUAAUAAGGGAAUCCAAACUUAAAAUCUAUGUUUUAAUUCUAAAACAAAGUCGAUUAAAGUAAACGCAUAGAUAUAUCAACAACAUCAAAUUUUCAACAAUAAUUUUAAUCCAAUUUAGAACUCACAGAAAAUUAAGGAAAAAGAUUGGCAAAUUUACCUACUUAUUCUCGAUUCUGAAAGAUUCAUCAUGGAAGUAGUCGAUGUCACAGCCCGUCCCGGAAUUUUAAUUCCGAGGACAUGAAAAGACGAAAAUGCCCUUAAACGGGACUAAGGGGCGAAAAUUUAACAAUUUGGAUUGAGUUGGACACGUGGGAUCCCCACACCCCUCAAUCCUCUCCCUAUUUUCUGCAUACUGUCUCUCUCUCUCCUCCCUCACGAAUCUCUCUCUCUCUGUCACUCUUCUUCUCCGUUCGAACAAACCAACCACAAAACAACCUUAAACUUCCACCAACGACGGAGUUAAGACCACCAUCGAACUCCUGGAGGCUCCACGAUCACGUAGACACCAAUUUCAGGUAAGUUUUACUUCGGAAAACCUAGAUUCUAAACUCCCCGUGAAAGUGCACUGUUCAUGAUCUUCGAAUUGACUUUGUUUUAGGACAAUCCAAGCUCACAGUGAGCUUAGUGAGGUUCCAAGGAAGCUCGGAGUGCUUCGUUGGAAGUUUUUGGACGUAAGAACACGGAGAUCGAUAAGUUCAAAGUUUGGCCGGAGCUUUCGAGGCAUGUUCCGGCGAAUCCCCGGCGAGUUAGGCGUCGAGGUAGGUAUCAAUCUCUUCGUCUCGUCAAGUACUACAACUUUCCUUUUUGUUUCACUCAAUUUCGUUGAGUAUUGAAGAAGUUAUACUCAUUUGAAAAAUACCCAGUUUCCGGCGACCUCCGAGGCUUUCGAGGCAGUUUCCGGCCAAACUACGGCGAACUAGGUGUUGGGAAAGGUACCAUUCUCUUUGUCUCUUCAAGGGCUACAACUUUCGUUUUUGAAUCACUUGAUUUCGUUAAGAAAUGACAAAGUUUAUGGCAAUUUGAAAAAACCGCCCAGAAAAACGGCCGCCGGAAAAACCAGUCCGGCGACCCAAGGAAGAAGAAGGUGCUACAGUAAAAAUAAAAAAUAAAAAUAAAAUUAUUUUUAAAAAUAUGUCGACGUCCGUGACGUCGAGUAGAUCACUGUGGUAUAUUCAUAUACCUAAAUUGAACACCGUAUGAGAAAAGUUAUUGAAGAUUGUUGGUUAGGUGUUCAAAUAACGUUUUAUAGUUUUCACAUUUAGGUGAAAAUGUGAAUUGAUGAUCCGACCGUUGGAUCGUCACCAAACUUUGAUACGUUGUAAUACGUAAUAUUUGAGGAUUAUUGGAACUUACGGAUUGGGAAUCCGAGAUACGGAUCUUCCGGAAUUGGAAUUGUAAGUCCAUAAUAUAAAAUGUUAACCGUCACUUAGUUUUGGAAAUUGACGGAGAUCCGACCGUUGGAUGGUAAUGAAAUUUUAGGAUGUUGUCCUAGAGGUAUAAUGUGGACCUCUGGAAGUUAUGGAUUUAAAAUCUGAGGGGUGGAUCUUCCGGAUCAAUCUACGUAGUGACGUAUUUUAUAUAAGUUAUAUAUUCUAUCGAUAUGAAUUCUGAGGUUGGAAUUGAUUAUUGUUUUAGGCGCCGAUCGUCAUGACGCCUUGGCGUAUUGUGCUAGGGAGUUGUAGGGCGAACUCCAGGUGAGUGGGCAGUUUUGUUUUCCGUAUUAUAUAUAUAUAUACUUAACGUUUUCCCAGAAUGAAUUGAAAAUGCAUGAAAUUUAUGUUUAAAAUUGAAAAUGAAAUGCAUAUGAGUAUGAUAUGAAAGAUGAAAUGUAUGAAAUAACAUGUAUAAUGAUGAUGAUUGAUAAUGUAUUGGUAUACAUGAGCUGUUAUGAAAUCCUGCUCACCUGCAUGGUUUAGUGCUUUAUAGUAUUCACCGCAUCGCACGCUCGCCUUGGAUCCAAGUAGAUGCUAGUCGUACAGUCCACGCGGAGUGGGUACGACAGACCAGUCGCGAGAGUGUUAGUGAGAUUCCGACUGGUGGGUGACCUUAGAUUAGUGUGCACAGAUGAUUUAUGAGAAGCACUAGAGCGUAACUUGUGUGCAGAAGGCCGGACGGGUCACAGAGGUGACUCCGGUAGAGUGAUAAUGAUAGAUUUUGAGCUCUAGGUUCAACCGUAUAGGGCUAUUAGAGGGCCUACGGUUGAUUACUUUUUUCUUGCACCUGAUAUGAAUUAUGAUUGCAUGCAUACCUUAUAUUACUGUUGAGAUGAAUGUGGCAUGGCAUAAUUAAUAUGAGAAAUGUUGAGAUGACAUGGCAUGGCAUGAUUUGAUAUAAAGGAGAUAAUGUUGAGAUAGUAAAAAAUGAAGUUUUGAGAGAUAUAUAUGUAUAUUUAUAUUUUUACAUUUCUGGGAAAGUAUACAGGUUUUACGGAGAGGGGUUACAACGUUUUGAGAAAUGUUUGGAUUUGGAAAAGAAUUGUUUUACUGACCCACUCAAUUUUGGUUUUGCGCCCCUCCAGGUUCAGGAAUCACAAAGGUGUGGUGACUACGAGGAAUUCGACGGUGUUCUGACAGAUUGGACAAAAUUAGGACUCACCUUCGGGUGUAUCAAUUUAAAUUGUAUCUUAAAGCUUCCGUACUGUGCAAAUGGUUACGUCACUCUCACGUGACGGCCAGCAUGCCCUCCUUCGGGACGGGGUGUGUCAGUCGAGUUGUGGAGGAUCGAACCAACUCAAAUUGCAUGAUUGUUACACCUUUGGACAUAAACUAAUCAUGCAAAGAAAAUACAUGCAUAGCUAGCCAAAACAUAAAAUACACAACAUACAUAUAGCUUCAACAGCUUUGGCCAGAUGAAAAUAUGUUAGAAGUACUUUAUGAUUUGCUAUAAUACUAAUUUAUAAUUGGUGAGUGAUUUCCUGAAAUUCCCAUUGGGACAAAAGUAUUUACCAUAUAAAUUAGAAUUCUGAUUUUUAAAAUAAUCCUUUAGAACAGUAUUAAAUAACCGUUUUGUUGGAUAUUCAAUUAUUCUCAAAAGAUUCAAUCAGACACAAAACUAUGUCGUUGUUGACAUUGAACAAUAGAGUUCUCGAAAGAGGAAACAUGGUUAUUCAGUUAUUUGAUAGGGACCAAAAUGAUCAAUUAGUAAAUUGAUGCCGCUUUCCCUCUUAAAAGACAAUUAUCAUUUCAGAAUCAUGAUGACCAAACAAAACAUUGGUUUAAGCAAAACACAACCAAUACAUCUUUAAAUCAAAAUUUAAUCAGUGUUGUCUAUAAAAUUCAUUAGUAUUGAUAAAUUGCAUAAAAUAAGGACAUAUUGGAACCAUAAACUUGUAUAAUAAUUGGUACCAAUAGAUGUGCACAAAUCAGUGAAAUAAUAUCACAUAACAAAACUAGUUUUGAAGUACCAAAAUUCAGCAGUACUUCUUUAGUUUGCAAAUUCACUAAAAACUCAAUUAUCUUUUGAUUGUCAUGAAAAUUUUAGGUAUGCACUAGACAUAUAUGGCUACUAUUUCGUAAAAUUUAAUGAUUUUUAAUAUUUUAAGAGAGCCAAAACUUGAAUUUGAAAAGAGAGGUGCUGCAGAAACUGCAGAAAAUGUUCAGUACAGACUUGAGAUUACAAAUUCACCAAAUAUUCAUUGUUCAUCCGAUAUGCAUGAAAAUUUUCAAACAUAAAUUAAACAUACAAAUCUGUUAAUUCCCAAAAUUUCAUAAUUUUUGAGACUUGACAAGUGUACUAAAAGAAAAUACGAAAUGGGAUGUGCUGCAGAAACGGCAAAAAUUCUGCAGUACAUACCGAAGAUUAAAUAAUUCACAAAAAAUUCAAUUUUCAAACCAAUGCUUGUGAAAAUUUCCAGAUUUGAAAUAAAUAUCUCAAUGUAUAUCAUACUAAAAUUUCAUGAAUUUAUCAAUUACAAAAAUAUAUCAAAAUAAUAUUACAAACACAAUAUUAUGCAGAAGUCUGCAGAAUUCCAGCAACAUGGUAUCUCACUUAAAAAUUUACCAUAAAUCCAUUUCUUGUCCAAAAAACGUGAAAAAAUACCAGCAUCUGAAGUCCAUUUAAUAUUACGACUUGACCAAAUUUCAUAAAAUUUGAAGUUAGGGAAGUCUAUCAAAAACUAGAAUGUCUAUCAGCUAUACGAAAUAUGCACUUAUACCAAACAAGAGUCUGCAAAAGAUUUACGAUGUCAUUGAAAAAACUUCCCAAAAUCUCAAUUAAGAAUCGAUAGCCCAGAACUACUCAUAUAAAUAAGAUACAUGAAUUUCAAAUUUGUCAAAAAUAACUAAAGUCCAUCAGAAUUGCAAGAUUUAUGGUUCGAAAAUAAUCUAGUUCAUUGAAAGCCCAAUAAAAGUUUCCUUCCAACAGAUUUAAUUAAUCAUGAAAUCAAUACAGCAAUAUAAUUAAUAAAUACAAUAAACCUAAAGCCGUGUUGUAAUCCUUCUCUGCCGCACAACGAUAAUUAUUCUGGAAAAGGAAGACAACCCUAUAUACUCAAGAAAACUCCAUAUUCUACCGAAAGGAAGAAAAAGGACAAUUAGCCGGUGACUAAUUAUGAACUCCAAAUUCACCGUGUAGUUAAAAUAUUUCCCCUUUAUUUUCCAUGCCCAAUUUUAAUUUGUUUGGACCUAAAUCCCUAAACAAAAUUGCAGACUCAGUGAUACAAAAUUGCGGAAGCAUCGGAAGCAUCUUUAUGAAGUCUCACAAGAUCGAAUAGUCAAAAUAGCCAACCAAACGAUAAACACAAAUUAUGCUUCACUUGUGUCAAUCAUCUACAGUUAAUCAAAUUACCUGUGAAUCGAACCCUAAGCUUGUUGUGUGGCUCUUAUACCACAUGUAAGACAUAUUCUGAAAUCACAACAACAAGACAUUAGGAUCACGAAUAAAUCAAAUCAAUAUGAAAUAGAGAUUGACUAAUUAUAUUGAACUUAUCUAUAGAAUUCGGAAGACAUGGUUAUGAAGAUGAAGCCAUUGAUGAACUCUAGGUUAUCUUCUCCUUCUAGUACUUCAAUAAUAUCUCUCUACUAUAUGAGUAGGGUUUAGCGUAUCUGAGAGAUUAAGCAUAUGGAAGCAGGGACCUAACACUUAUUAUUGGUUGUGAAAGUCAAACCCUAUCACUUAGUGUUUAAGUCCCACCAUGAUACUAUAUCUUUGUAGUGAAAUCCAUCAGAUUUCUUUAGGUCAAUUACAAAGGAUAAGACUCCAUAAUCCUUAUUUCAUGAGGACUAUCAGAUUACUUAAGUUGUUAACAACUCAAUAAACAAGUGGCCUACAACAUAAGUAAUCCAAUACAUCAUUCAUUGUCAUUCACAACCUUACAGUUAACAUAUUAAAUGACUUAGGGCUGGUUUGAUAUUACUAUGCUUUGAAAAAAAACUGCUUAUGUUGUGCUGUGAGAAUAAGCAGCUGUGAAAUAAAGCAGCAGAGUGUUUUGUAAACUUUUUUGUAAAAGUGCUUUUGAAAAAAAAAACAGUAUUAUAGUGCUUGGUAAAUUUUUAUGUAAAACAAAUGUGAAAAAAGCCGGUUUUUUAAAGUUGGGUUUUGCAGCUUUGUAUUUUUGGCUUUUUUCACCCAAAACUGUGAAAAAAAAGCUAAAGUUAAAUGUUUACCAAACACAAAAAAACUCCCAGCUUUUUUUUAUACCCAUUCUUUUUCAGAAUCACCUUAGUAUCAAACCAGACCUUAGUAGGUGCAAGAGCAUACAAUUGAUUAUAAAAACAAACUCUCUCGUUGUUGAGAACGGAAGAUGACAUACAACUGAUUGAUUAUCCCACACAAUUUGAUAGACACAGUAUUAUAUAUAUAUUUUGGUCAACAGACACAGUAUUAUUUGGCGUUAACCAAUUACAUAACUUACUAGAUACAAGAAGAUAUACAACGGAGACCUAUAUGUCCAAUAAUAGAGACAGAAGUGAUUUGAUGUGCAUGCAAUAAUGGAACAUCGGAUAGUGCCAAUUCUUACAUCAAUUUGCAAACACUCCUCGUACAACCAGCUGCCAAUUCUAUAUAUUGUAUAUUGUAGAGUAAUAUUUGAGAGACCAAAUUUUAUAACAAAAUGAUAUGGUUGUUGAUGAAUGAGUUAUAACUUAAGUAUAAUUAAUGUGUUUAAUUUUUUAUUGAUGACACAUAAUUUAGUUUGCAUAUUUGUUUCAAAAAUUUGAUGUAACUAACAUUACCCUAUACUUUAUAACAGGCACACAAGCAUGCACAAUUAAAUCAGAGAUCAACUAGGAAUUACAUAAAAAAUGCAACAAGUAGCGUUGCAAUUUGCAUUGAUUUGAGUUUAUUAAUCAUGUUUAACCCAACAAAAUGUAUUUACAAGUUCUUCUUCGAACCUUCAAUCCCAAGACCUUAAUACAUAAUUAAGCCUAAAACCACAUGCUAAUCUAACUACCAAACGACACGUCGCUUUGGUUUUGCUGAGCUGGACGCGGUUUCACCAACUAUUCUACUGUAAUCAUCCCAUAAUCUAACGACGUUACCGUUAAGCUCCGUCAAGUCCUGGUACCUGUACCAACUCAUCUCUCCCGUUCUCAACGUCAAAACAUCCUCCCACCAACUAGCCGCCGCCACCUCAUCGCUGCCGCUUUCUUCCGUCUCAUCCUUCUCCGGCGUCAGUGAUGAGGUCGCUGUCAGGUCACUCUCAACGUCACUAUCCUCAAAAUACACCGCAAACUUCGAACCCUUUGUCAGCUGCACUGUGCUGUCACCGAACUUAGCCAAUGCCGGAACAAAGCAUGGUGGCUCCACCUUCUUCGCCGCCGAAUUUGACUGAGUUAUCUCGGGAACCGGCGACGACCCAUUUAAGCUGAGGCCGGAAAUGGCAGGUUGGGAGCGGAAUUUCAAUGCAGAAGAAGAGAUGGCACUGGUGGCGGCGGCUCUAGGUCUGAGCCUCCAGAAGCUAACGGCGGCGGUCAAAACGGCGAUCCAAGUCCACAGAUUGUUCACAACAGUGAACAAUCCGAAGCUCAAGUAAUUGAAAGCAAGAGCUUCGAGAUUAGAAUCCAACACGUUCAUGAUUGAAAUCGAAGGUUGCGAAACAGAGGCAGAGGAGGGUUUUUGUUUUGGUGUUGGUUUAAGGUUUGUGAGAGGUGUGAAGCUUACGAGGUGUUGGUCUCUGGUGGCGGUGAAUUUAUGGGGGUAGGAGAGCGAGGGCGCGGGAGAAUGUGAGCCGUUGGUUUCUUUAGGCCCUGUCCAGUUUGGAUCUCGAUAGAGAGAUGCCAGAAGAGAUGCCAGGAAUCGAGAGCUAAGAUGCGAAUCGCUCAAUGGUAGAUCCCAAUUCUUAUACCGCAUUUUUUCACCACUUGAUUUGAUUGAGUCAUGGCUAGGAACCAAGUGUCGUCUUCCUUUCGUGAACCCCACAGUGAGAAGCAAACCCUUGCCUUCAUGCUCACCAUUAAAAUAGCAUGGUCUAGAAACUGAUAGAAAAUUGUAGGAUAACAAACAUACUUGUGGUUGAUAGGCUUUGGCAGUCAUUUCAGUUAACCACGCGUAACUCACUCUUAGGAAUGUUCCGUUAUUUCAAGUUAGUCACACAUAUUUUAAUUUUUAUAAUGUAGUAUGCUCUUUUUUUAAGAUAAUACAUGGAAUUAUAUAUUCUCGUAAGCAAAGAACCGCACCUUACAGUAAUUUCUAAUAGUACGAACCCCUACAUUAGAAUUCUUGUGUUCGAUUUUUUCUUAGGUAAUAUCAAAUUAUAGAAUAUAGAAAAAAUAAAGGGGUUUUUGAACAUUAGUCCUUGCAAAAUAUUAAAAUUUAAAAAAAAAAUCUGGUGCUAGAUUACAUAUUCAACUUAAUCCCUUGAAGUGCACUUUUAUCAAAAUUUAAUUCAAUUUUAUUAUUUAAUGUGUAUUUUUAUUUAAUCUCUCCACAUUAAAUUUUAAUUUUAUUAAUAUGCACAUAUUUAGUUUUUUAAUUAUAAAUGAACAUAAAUGAGAAAAUAUUAAAAUAAAUUUGUGAUACAAAAAUAUAUAAAUACAUAAAUAACUGUACCGAAAUAUAUAAUAUUGACUUUUUGUACCAAAAUAUUUGUACGUACAUGAUUGUACCAAAAUAUAUUAUAAUGAACCUAAAUGUAUGUACCGAAAUGUAUUAUAUUGAAUUAAUAUACCUAAAUGUCAAUACCGAAAUGUAUGUACCAAAAUGUAUGUACCGAAAUAUAAUAUAUUGAAUUAAUGUACCUAAAAGUCAAUACUCAAAUGUGUGUACCAAAAUGUACGUACCUAAAUACAUUAUAUUGAAUUAAUGUACUUAUAUGUUUAUAUCGAUGGAUAUACAGAAAUAUUAACCUAGAUGAAGAACAUACAUAAUUGUUAUCGGAAUAUAUAUUAUAAAAAAAUUAGUUGCCUAAAUGUAGACAUUAAAAUAUAUUAUGAUGAAUGAAAUAAAAAUUAAAUUUAAAUGUAAUUAAUACAUUAAAAUAAAAAUAAAAAGAUAAAUAAAACAUCAAAAUAUAACUAAUAAGUGAGAUGAUUAAAUGUAAUAGGGACUAAAAUUGAAUUUUAAUCUUAUACAAGAUUAUAGUCUAAAACUCAUCUUUUUUAAGGAUUAAAAUGAAGUUUUCUAAAAAAUGGACAAUCGUGCAGUGUAUAUCAAAGCCAAAUAUGUAUACCAUUAUGGCAUUAUCCAAUCAAGCUUCGGAUAUUGUUGCAUUAUGUGCUGUCUUUUUCUUAAUUCAAAGACUCGUAUCAGCCUGCAUUACACUAGGUAGAGUAUUACCCUUAUUUUCAGUUUAACACAAGAAAAUAAAAUAAAUGUAUGUGGUCUAAUGUUUUAAUGGAUAAAUUAUUGAGUUUCUACUCAUGUAUUUUAGGCUUGAAAAUCCAUCAUUUUUAAAUUAAUGUAAUAAUUUUGAAUCAUCUUCCUCCCCUUAAUAACAGUAACCAAGAAAAACGUAAGAAAAUAAAUAGGAUAAGAAUGAGUAAUGUUAUUCAUGCUAUGUUUUUAUACCACAUUUAUAUACCAUCUUAGGUGGUAUCUGUUGUGGACACCCAAGGAAAUGAGAGAGAAAGACUCCUCGUAUACCACAAGCAUCAUUUAAUUAACUAGUUUUUCUUAAUUAUUAGUUUAUUAAAUAAUAAACUAAAUUUAAAAAUCUAAUUAAUUCAAAUGAUUUGGUUGUCCACAUCAAAUGCUACCUAAGGUGGUAUGAAAAUGUGGUACAAAAAUAUGGUAUGAAUAUCUUUACUCAUAAGAAUUUCAAGAAAAGAAAAGUGAAACGUGACAGAAGGUUGUUAGCUCAGCAUGGAGUUACAUGCACAUGUAAUACUACAUUGUAUUUUGACUUUUGAAUUAGAUUGAAAUGAAUAACUCUAAUUUGAAAUUAGAGGGGGAUAGAAAUAAAAUAAACUUUAAUUCUACAAUUCUCGGGAGAAUUGUAAUUGAUCAGUUUUUUUUCUCAGCAAUCCAUUUAUUUUCUUGAAGAGCUACAAUUUUCUCAUGUCUUUCUUUUAACGUACGUUAAAAUAGUGGCUUGCCCUUUUAAUGCAAACUUUGGUACGAAACAAGAUUGUAUAGUGUUCACAUUCCACACUAAUUAGAAUGCAAGAUAUGAAUGCCGAGCGAACUAAUUGGUGGUUGUGAUUGAUUAGAGUAGCGUUAGGUAAAGAUGAUCUGGUAGAUAUCUUGUCAAAAUGUUUAAGCUUGAUGCAGAACACAAAGUCCAUUAAAUGACAACCAAUUGUAUGGGGAGUAUAAGGUUUAAUUAAACUUAAAAUGUUGUCACUUAGGAAUUUGUUAAGUCUUGUAAGAGUCCCAUAGAAAGAAGAGGUUUAUAAAAUAUUAUAAGCCUUUUAAAGUGUAUUAGAAUGCCUAGAAUGGCAGACUUGAUUAAUUAGUAAAGAAACAUAUUAAUAUAUGCCUUGUACAAUUGAAGUGAGUGACUUUCAUUUGAAGAGUUAUAGAUCACCAAAAAUUUCUUGGAGUCUAGUUUCCAACGCAACAAAUCGUGCAUCAAAUCAAAUUUUUUCUGUGCAGAUAUUGGCAAAACACCACAGAGCAUCAGUGUUGUGGCAAAAAAAAAACAAUCAAUUCCUUAAUGGCCAUGUUUUGAUUUGAGCAUUUCUCGACUUUGAUGCCAUAUAUCAUUUGAAAGCCCUUCCAGUCUAGUUUUUAACUUUCCAUGCGAUUCCUCAAACUGUUAUUUCUACAAAACGAUAUCCUCAAUUUACUAAAGCAUGUUGCUACUGCCAGUAAACAAGGUUAGGUGGGUUCUAGAAACGUCUGCCUCUGAUUUUUCUGGUGACGACUUUCUAAAUUUUAAUCUUCCUCCAAUUUUUAUCAUUGUCUCGAUGGUUCAUGUGAGAUUUGUUGUACUACAUGUAUUGAGGUUGAAAAAUGUUCCAACAUUGAGUUUGGCAUGAACGGGGAACAUAUAGAAUGCAGUGACGAAGUCGAUAACUUUGCUAAAUGGGAUUUUGCCGCAGUUUAUGAUCAUUACGAAGGCGAAGAAGAUGUAGUUGAAGAGUUCCAUGUAAAAAUAUAUAAUGGAGUACAAGCUCUUAAGAUAUGUAGCAUUCAUGAUCCAUUUUGGGACGGUUUCGUUGCUCGAGAUGAAAGGAGAGCUCUUUGAUAGAAGAACUUUUCAACAUGAUUUAAAUUAUCUUUUACUCAUUCACAAGUCAUGAAUGUGAAGAAGUGAUUUGGAAGGAUUAUUCCAAUGUGAUUAUUCUCAAGAAGAAAAGAUUAAUGUGUGCAUGGUCUAUAGGAAUUUGGAAAAUUUUGUUGCUAAAUUGGGUUUGUGGAACAUCUUAGUUGGACAUCCAGAAGAUCGAUGAGAAAAAAGUCAAUUGAAAAUAGAGAACAAGUUCUUUUUUUUUUUUUUUUUUUUUUACAAAGAAGAGUAGAAUGAUGCAGUACACAAAAUUCAUUAAAUGACAACCAAUUGUAUGCGGAGUAUAAGGUUUAAUUAAACUUUAAAUGUUGUCACUUAGGAAUUUGUUAAGUCUACUGUCACUUAGGAAUUUUUUAAGUCUACUUUGGAGGUUGUAAGAGUCCCAUAGAAAGAAGAGGUCUAUUAAAUAUUGUAAGCCUUUUAAAUAGUGUAUUAGAAGCCUAGCUAGAAUGGCAGACUUGACUAAUUAAGAAAUACACAUUUGUCUUGUGCAGUUGAAGUGGGUUAUUUCUCCUUCUAAAAUCAAACAUUUAGUUUAGUUAUAUGAGUGAAUCCACAAUUAACAACGUACAAAAAAACUCUGUUUUCCGAGCGAAUCCUAGGUGACUUGUCCUUCGUCCCCAAAACUCCUUGGACCCUGCACCAAAGCUGAUAGGGUUGGGGAAGUCAUGAUUAAUUGAUGGGCCUAUCUUUUAAGCAAUUACUUUAUAUACAAAUGGUUGGAAAAUAUUAGUAUUUUGAUUUAUUUGAAUGUUUGGUUUUAUGGGUUUAGCCCGUUAGAAUUAGGUUUUGUUAGAGAUUAUGGUUAGUUUAUUAUAAAUAAGGUGCUUUGUUAUUCAUUGGAGAACAAGUCAUUAACAAUGUAGUCUUUUAGGGUUUUGUGGCCAUUUCGACAUUCUCGUUUAUUUAAUAAUAUUCUUAUUAUUUUGUUAGUCUUGUUCGUUCCACACUCUGAUAUUCAACUAAUAGUUUGACAAGUCACACGUAUACCCAAAAAAAAAAAACAAUUGUUAUCUUUUUAAGGCUUUUAAUGCGGUCCCUUGGUUUCUAAUGAUAGAUUUAAAUGAAUUGUCUAUGGUGACUUCAUCAUGCGAUGUAUAUGUAUACAUUUAUAGAAAAGGAAAUUAAGUUGCAGAAGCUUUAGCUUAAUUUGGGGCAAAAUGCUUAUUAGUCUACGGUUCUAGAUUUUGUUGCAUUUGCCCGUGCUCAUGACAUUUCAUUUUGUCCUUAUUAUCGUUUUCGUUGAUCAUGUUGUAUUUGGCUUCUUGGCAUAGUCCCCGGCUUGUAUUUUUUCGUUUACUUUAAUUAUUAUCAACAAAUUUGGUGGAAGAGGGAUAUGCAGGAGGUUUCUGGGUGCAAUCGUUCUCUUCUCUUCGGGAAGGUAGGUGUCUCGCACACGACCAUUGUCGAAUAGCUAAUCUCGUCUAAUUUUUUUCUACCUGAGAAGAAAAAAAAACUAAAUUUGUUUGUGCCACUUAGUAUUACAGUCCAGUGAUUUAUAUUCAAACUUUGUAGAUGAAGACUUUAAUUCCCCUGCCUGUUAAUGUAAAUGUAUUUUAUAUAAGAAAAUAAAAUAAAUAACACAUUACCUAUUACACAUAAGAACAGCCAAAUAUCAUCUGUUGAUGACAAGCGAUAGAGCUUAGAAAACCCGAAAGACAAAUAUGGAAGAACCUAUUACACAUAAGAACAGCCAAAUAUCAUCUGUUGAUGACAAGCGAUAGAGCUUAGAAAACCCGAAAGACAAAUAUGGAAGAAGGGCCAAGAAAGGAUUCAAUCAGAAAAAUAGUUUCGGAGUGGAUCAGGUGAUUUAAGCCCCCGAGUCCCCAUGCCGAAUACAAAAGCAGGUUUGCACAACGAUGAUGUAUUUUAUUUAUUUAUUUUUAUUGUUUUGUGGAGGGGAAUCAAACAUAUGAUACAUCUUUUAUCAAUAAUUUACUAAAUUUAAGGCUUAAGAAUCUUGAUAAGCGGUGAAUUACUGAAUUGCUCUUAUGUAUACUGUAUAGAGUUUUUUUUAUGGGAAAAUUAGGUUCACAUUCUUAUUUUUGUGACUUCAUUGAUUAAAAUCCUAUUCAUUUUUAAUUUUUUAUCAAGGUUCUUGGGUAUUAAUAACAUCAUUAAUUAUUUGAAUAAUAAAAUAUUUUUAUUUUUAAAUAUAUUCUUUUAAUGUUAAAAAUGUUACAAUUAGUAUAUUUAUAUUUAUGACUAAAUUUUAUCAUAUAUUUUUAUUGUUAGUUUGUACCUAUUUUUAAUUUGCAAAUAUUUUUUAAUUUGUACCAAUUUUCUUUUCAUUUUUAAUUUGUACCCAUAUAUUAGUUUCUUGUUGUGACAUAUGUUCUUAUCAAUAUGUGAUUGUGUAAAUCCUAAGUAGAGAUAAAAUAGGAAUCCUUUGGGAUCUAGAAGAUCUUCCCUAAUAUACUUUGUAUUACUUGGAGAGCAAGUUUAUCUCCUCCUAAUUACUAUAAAUAAAGGCACAAGGACUGGGGAAUUAACACACAAUUCCUCAAGUCUAUUCUCCAAUCUCUCUUCUUCUCUUUGCGGCACAUCUCUGUAAAAUAUAUGCCACAACACGUUAUCAGCACGCUCUUCACGCUGUGCUUAGAAGAAUUUAAAGAGAAUUUAUUCGUCUAGAAUCAGGGGAGUAUUACGUUUCAAUUAUUUUAAUUGAUUAAAUCUUGAUUUUAUUGAAUUCAUAUAUUGUUAUUGAUUCAAUUUAUUUUUCUUCUUAUGUUGAACGUGAUACAAGCUUGAAGAUGAAAGCUGAAAUUGAAGAAAUAAUUUUUCUGCAUCAAACCAGUUCAUUCAUAUAAUCACGCAAUUAGGUUCUUCCAAAACAACGGCUUUUAACUCGAUAUUUUUGAAGCCCUGAUAGCAUGAACAUUCACCAUGAUGCAUGACCCAACUUUACGUUUAACGUAUUUUAGAUUCUACAUAAAUUGUGUAUGCCUUAUAACCAAAAUUGUUGCAAUUAUGUGAAUUUGAUAUUUGCCAUGAAUUGAAUCUUACAUAUGUACAUGCAUUGAAACUAUUAUUUGCAUAUGCAUCAACGUAAAUAUGUGAUUCAUUGAAAUAUAUAUUGAAUUUCAUAUGCAUAUAAUUGAAUUAAAUUAUAUUAGAAAUUUUCAAGAAACCUAGGGUUUCUUCCCCGUGACCUCGACAUCACUGGGCUCACGCGAGCCCACAAUAGGAUGCGAAGCACCAGAGCAAAACCCUUGCUCCAAUCUGAAAGAUGCCUUUGGCAUCAAACCCUAACCCACGGUGCCGCCCGAAGUCGGCCACAGCUUCACCACCGUUAUUACUGGGUACUCACACAUGCAGUUGUGAUUGGGACAUAGCCAUCAUCGAAGACGAUGGGUUUUUUUUCAGAAAGCUCAAUGAACACCGCCGGGUUCUUUGAACCCCGAUGGUUCUCGGAUCCCCCGACGUCGAAACCAAAGGUCGCCGUCUACAACUACGGUUCCCAGUUGAACCCACAGGCUUCGCCAUGCCUUAAACCCCCGAGGACAGUCGCUCAAAGCGACGCCGGCAUCCCCCCGGUUCGAUUCCGACACCCAGCGCCGCUGGGGUGUCUUGAAUCCCAAAAUCCGAGCCCUAGUGGGCUCCUGUCCCUCGGCCUGCAUCAGCGCCUUUGGGCCUGCUGCUAUUUUGAGAUGUCACGGCCUAACCCGUGCGAAAGAAAAAAAAAAAAUUUUGUUUGUUUCUGGGCUCGCUUGUAGCGGCCCAGCCCGAAAAAAGGGAUUUUUUUUAGUUUUCUUUUGGGCGUGCUUGAUGCAGCCCUUUGUGUGAAAAAAAAAAAAAUUGGGGUAUGCCCGCAACAGCCCAACCCCAUGCUGUCCCCGUGGGCCUGCAGCCCCACCCGAGACACCCUAGCCCCAUUUUGGGCCUAGGUCACACGACACCCAUUUGUUUACGCCACCCCGUGGACUUAAUUUUUCUGUUGGGCCCCACAUUUUAUCUGCCUAAUUAUUUUUAGGCCCAAUGGGUUUUAUAUUUUUUUCACCCACAUUUUAAUUUGGCCCGAAGUCCAAAUAAAUUAAUUCAAUUACAAUUAUAAACCUGAAGUUAUAUCUUUGUAUAUCCUUGUUGUAUAUUUGCUUGCAUAUAUAUAUAUAUUUGUGUUUGUCUGCAGGUAUUAUGAACUUAAAAGUUCAUACUUCCGAACCCAAAGUUUCGGAAAAGUGCCAUAUGAACCUGAAGUUUCUUAAUGCGCAACACUCAUGUUGAGACCCGAAGUUCUCCAUGCUUAAAUCCGUUUAAACCAAACCAUGUCUUAGAACCUGAAUGUUCUAAAUUUGUUGUUUAUGGAAAUUUUAUUUCCUAAAACACCAAUCACAUUCUUGUUUCCUCCAUUCAGCGUAUUGUCAAACCGUAACAAGUUCGAUUUCACUGACUUGGAAGUUUCGAAUAGUAAACUACUUUAUGUGGAUACAAGACGUGAAUAAGCAUCCGUCAAGAUCCUUAUUCGAAGAAUUAUGCUUGAAGCAUAUCCAAUGGAAGUACCUCCAUGCUGAGGACUCCAUGACUCUUCAAAUCCAUUAUGGACUGUUUCAAAUCAUGCAAAGAUGAAUUUUUGCCUGAAGUAAAACAUGAUUGAAACUGUUACGUCCAUGAAUAGGUACAAUUCUCGUAGUCCAUUUGUGAAGACUCAUUUUGCUCCACCUAAUACAUUUGGAAGAGCGAAAUUUGAUAUGGACGGCCUAUUGGCCGAACCCUAUGGUUUUUUUUUGGUUUAUUUUGUGAAUAAUUUAUUUUGUUCUCGGAUUUAAGAUUAGUGUUUGGAUGUCACCAUUAUUCUCGAAUAAAAGAGUUAAUUAACGAAGAUUACCAUAUGUGACUACAAUUAACUCAUGCUUAGGUAUGUUUUGUGGGGAAGUUAGAUGUCUAGUUCUAUGCUAACUUCAUACCUAAUCAUCCCCUGACAACCUUUCAGGCUUAUCCAACCUGAUUGUGGGGCAUGGCACUGCCCUAUAUUGUCCAAUGGUAUUAACUUUACCAUAAAGGGAAGCCUUAUACUCACUUCGUUCCGGAAGAACGCCCUUUUGAGCUUUAAGGAUAUUCGAGAGUAUUAUUACCAUAUCGAAACCAAUGUAGAAAAUGGAGUAAAAAUUCCUUGGCAUAUCACCAUUUUUGCACUUCCUACGAAUAUAGUUAAAUGCAUAUUCUAGAGAAGAUGGAACGCUUAACGAAUGGAUUACAUCCAUUCAGCCCCAUUAUAUGGCCGGCCAGAAGCCCGCGAUUCCUAAGGAAUUUUCUCUAUGGAUGUACGUUUGGGAUAUCUAGGAUGAUUCGUGAUGCGCCGUUUUGGGCAUCCUUUUACCAGAAGUAAAGAAAUCAUACAUGGGCACGUAUUAUACCUUAGCACCCUCCAUCUUUUUACAAAGGAUUCCAAUGGGACAUUUGUGGAUAGAUUCAACCACCCUACGGACCAUUUAAAUAUUCUAUAGUAUUGGUUGAUGUUUCUACACGUUUGUCACACGUGUGGUUGUUGUCCACAAGUUGCAUUCUCCACAUUGGUAGCUCAGAUUAACAAGCUCAGGGCUCACCACCCUGAUUAUCUGAUCAACUUUAUUUGAUUGGAUAAGUUAGAGAAUUUACAUCGACAUUUACAUCGAACACUUUAAAUCUCGAUGGAUAUUGCAUGUCGGUUGGGUUUUUUUGAAGUUGAACAUCCAGUCCCAUGUUCAUACCCAGAACGACCCAGCAGAAGUAUUCAUUAAACGCCUUCAAAUGAUUGCGUGGUCGACUGGUCAUACGUACCACAGUUCCCGACCUCUGCUUGGGGCCAUGCAAUAUUGCAAGCAACCAUGUUGGUCCGCCUGAGGCCCGUCAAGACCCAACCUUAUAAAGCGCGUGUCAGUUGGUUACCAGAUACGAACUCGACAUAUCGCAUCUGCGCGUCUUUGGUUGUGCGGUCUAUGUGCCAUUUGCGCCGCCCUUACGUACACAAGAACAAAAGGGUCCUCAGGGAAGGAUGGAAAUCUAUGUCGAUUAUGAUUUUUCUUCUAAUAAUCGUUACUAAAUAACCUUUGACAGGCGAUCUCUUUACCGCUCGUUUUGCGGAUUGUCACUUUUAUGAGCUAGUCUUCCCGUCGUUAGGGGGAGAUAAGAACGUCACCGUCCCUAAAGAACGACGCAAAUUAUCGUGGACGUCCCAACUAUGUCUCAUAUCGAUCCCAAUCUAGAUCGUCAGAAUUUAACUAGACACUUCCUCUGAUCUAGAAAAAGUGACAAUAUCACAUAUACCAGCUGCAAAUGUGCCUGCAAAGAUGUGUACCAAAUGUACUUCGGACCUUUGUCCUGAAAGUAGGAAAACCACAAUUGUGGCCGACCCUCGUACAUUGGCGGCUAGCCAAUCAAUCUAUCUUAUGCCAGAAGCAUGGUAGAUAACUCGGUUCAAGGAUUCACCUCCCCAAAAGAGAAGGAACGUGGCAGGAAUGAAUUCGUCCCUCGAUCGCGGUCUCAGACCUUUUCAUCUCAUGAGAUUAAAUCUGGAUUACUCCCGAGACCUGAAGUUCUUGGUCCAGUAUACUAGUUUGGAUGAGAUAUGGAAUUGGAAUGAGAUUAUCAUAAAUGAUGUUUCAUUUAUAUGGUACCGACAUAAAUGAAAAGCGACGAUAACGAACCGCAUUCCGUUGAUUAAUAUCAACGUAGAACUGAUUGGUCAACUAAAAAAAUCAAUCUAUGAUGAAUGAGAUGAAUGAAAUAGUGCAAUAUGACGCCUUGUGGUGCAAGGUUUCUCUCAUACGCCAUGUGAUUGAUUGCAGCAUUACAAAUGUGGUUGUAGUAUCUCUGGGAUCGUGAUAUGAACCUACAUGGAGUUUCCAAAAGACUUACAUGUACUGAUUCAAAUAGUUCUAGACCACAAGAACAUCAUCUUGAUUCCCAAGAAGCCUUCACUUUACGGAUGCAGAACUAUCCGGGCGGAUGUGGUAUACCCGUCUAAGUGAAUAUUUGAUCAGUUAGGAAUAUAUGCCCCUGCGUGUAUAAAAUCCAAAAUUGCUAGAGUUGAGCAAAUUAACUCGCAUGUCGGACUAUAAGAUGAAUGAUCUUGGGAGAACUUGACAUUACCUCGACCUGAAGUUUCGAGCUAGUUUUGAUGGUAUUCUGGUCCACCACUCAAACUAGACCCAGAAGGUGUUAUGUAUGAGUAUAUCCCGAUCAUUUGUAUGCUAGAUGCAAAUGAGACCUUUAACGGAGGGUAUGGAGCAUAAGGUUCCAUAUUGGAACGUGAGGCAGCCAUAUCUAAGUACCAUUGGCGUUUGUUGUACUUAGCUCAAAUGCACUAGAUCAAACAUCUUAUGUGCUGAUAAUCUUUUGGCAUAAAGCAGCACUGCGCCUAACACGCCGCUACCAAAUUUGGUGUUAAAGACGUUUUUUUCCGUUACUACGGAUUUGGGCUUAUUCCCUAUACAUCUCAGAAUAGAUCACACCCCCUUGAUCUUCGGAAUGAUGCCUACCUUGUGGGAUUCGCUGAAUCAGACCGUCUAUCUGAUCACACAAGGUACGUUCCCGCAUGGUUAUGUCUUUACCAUUAAGGAACACCGCAAUAUCUUGGAGGUUAACUAGAUAGACCUUUUGUUGCGAAACCUUUGAAUCAUUCCAAGAUUCACUAUGUCUCAUCACGUGAGAGAUAUGGUCGAGAAUUCUUGUUGAGCAUAUUCAAAAUCCCUGCGUUUUUCAUCCAUCAUUGAGUCCCAACAACGAUCCAUGAAUACAACGCUGUAUGUAUCGACCAGAUCAUGAUACAUCCAACAAGUCAACACCAAGCAUAUUGUGUCUACAUCAGCAUGAGCAUCAGAAGAUUGAAGUCAAGCAGUCCAAUCCCAGAUAACUUUGCUGACAUCUACACGGAGUCACUACUGAAGUCUACAUUUCAGAAGCUUGUCCAAGGAAUUGGUAUGCGUAACUUUCUCAUUUGCGAUGCUUGUAGUUUCAUUUGGAAGUUUUGUCAAACUCAGGGGGAGUAUCUAGAAGUAUACUCACUUGAUCUUAAUGUACUCUUUUUUCCUACGAUUAGGAGCAUUUUUCCCACUGGGUUUUUGCUACCUAACUAGGUUUUAACGAGGCACCCAUCAUAGGCUGAUCAUACCCUUGUGAGCUCUUCUACUUGCGUCCAGAAGACGUAUAGUUUUGACUUAAUGCAACUUCUCACUUUUCUCCUUAGCCUAUGGGUUUUUCUCCCACCUUGGGUUUUGCCAUAGCAAGGUUUUGUGAGUUUUACCACUCCUGCAUUCUUCCGUUUGUUUUGAGACUCGCAUUCGCUACUUGUGCCGACUAAACGAGACGAUUUCAUCCACUACUUCUACAUUUGCCUGAAGAUCUGAUGCGCCAUCUACUUGAGUAUUUGCACACUCAAGGGGGAGUGUUGUGACAUAUGUUCUUAUCAAUAUGUAAUUGUGUAAAUCCUAAGUAGAGAUAAAAUAGGAAUCCUUUGGGAUCUAGAAGAUCUUCCCUAAUAUACUUUGUAUUACUUGGAGAGCAAGUUUCUCUCCUCCUAAUUACUAUAAAUAAAGGCACAAGGACUGGGGAAUUAACACACAAUUCCUCAAGUCUAUUCUCCAAUCUCUCUUCUUCUCUUUGCCGCACAUCUCUGUAAAAUAUAGGCCACAACAACAAUUAGUAUAUUUAUAUUUAUGGCUAAAUUUUAUCAUAUAUUUUUAUUGUUAGUUUGUACCUAUUUUUAAUUUGCAAAUAUUUUUUAAUUUGUACCAAUUUUCUUUUCAUUUUUAAUUUGUACCCAUAUAUUAGUUUCUUUUUGUGCCCAUAUUUUUUAAAGUUUUAUUUGUGUUUGUACCCAUAUGUAUACCGUCACGUGACAUUGUAUAUUUAAUCAAUGAUAGAAAAAUUACAUAUAGUAUAUUUAUGUUUUAUGCCUAAACUUUGUAUCAUAUAUUUAUAUUUUUAGUUUGUACCCACUUUUAAUUUGCAACAUUUUUUUUUAAUUUGUAGUAUUUUCUUUUUAGUUUUAUUUUGUACUCAUGUAUUAAUUUCUUUUAGCGCCUAUAUUUUUUAAAAUUCAUUUGACUAAGGAAAGCAGGAAGAGUUUUGAACCAAAGACAUUGUGUAUUGAAGAGAAAGACACAAUCCACUAAAGCAAUAUACCAGUAGCCUUUUUGAUAUACCUUAAAGUAGUAAUAUCAUUUGUAAUAAUAAUAAUAAUAAUAAUAAUAAUAAUAAUAAUAAUAAUAAUAAUAAUAAUAAAGAGUGAUAAUAAAAAAGACUUCACAAUAAAAAAAGAGUUUAACAUUUUUUUUUUAAAUAAACGAUACUAUCUACGUUAAAAGGGUGGGGGAGUGAGCUAAGCCUCACAAUGGGUUAGCAAUAAUGUGGUUUACAUUCGCCUUCGGCAAGAAUCAAACCUAAGAUCUCUCACUUGCAAGUAAAGAGGAAUAUCACUAGACCGUAGUACUAAGUGGUAAUAGAGUAAACAAGUUGAAGUUUGGUUGCAUUGACAGUAUCAUAAUUAAGUUGAAUUUUAGUGGCACAUUCAUCUGUUUUAUAGUAAAUUUUAGGUUAUGAAGAGACAAUUGCUGAUUUUAUGAAGAAAUAGUAGUCGGUGCUAUCAAACUUUAACUUAAUUACGAUAUUGUCGCAACACCUAAACUUUAAUUUAGUUAAGAUAUUGUCGUUGCACCUAAACUUUAACUUAUUUAUAUCCGUUUCUUUUUAUUUCAUUUAAAGAAGAAGAUGAAAAAGAUAUAAGAAAUUUGUAGCUUAGUUGGUUAAAAAUAUUUAUUCAUGUCCUCCAAGUCUUAAGUUUGAUUUUCUUCUUCCACAACUAGCAUAUGGGCACACACAAAGUGUGUGUGAAUUUUUUUUUAUUUUGGUUUUUGAAGUAGAAGAAGAGAGGAAGAGAGUGAUAGAGAAUAUAUGAGAGUGGGAAGCUUUUUUAUUUUUUAAUUUUUUUAUUUUUUUUAAUUAGAUAUAUGUUAGGAUUACAUGUAGGUGAGACUUUGAAGAAAAAAAAAUAGCAAAAUUUGGUUGUAUGAAAUUACAUUUAUGCCCAUAUUACUUAUUCAUGUUUAGUUUUAAUUAGAGGGUUAAACUGAUAAUUUCAUAUGAUUUUGAUUGACAAUGAGUGUUUUAUUAAUAUGUAGUUUAGAUACUAACACAGCCUUUUGUCCAUUAUAUUAAAGAAAGUAAAGCAACUUUAAAGUAGUUUUUAGUUUUCUUUUUCUUUUUCCUUUUCUCUUCUCUAACAACAUCUUAUUCUUCUCUUGUUUCAAUCAUGCUUUCCCAAUAACAAAAAAACUAGAAACCCAAUUGUUAUCCAACGACCCUUAACAACCAUUUUCUCUAUGUAGAGGAGUACAUAAGAGGGAUGGUGAGAUCAAAAGCCACUCUCAAGAUGAAUAAAGCGAUCAAAACCAUUUUGUUCGACUGUUUUUAAUAGCUUCAUAUAUAUAUAUAUAUAUAUAUAUGUGUGUGUGUGUGUGUGUUUGUUUUUUUUUUUCGGUAUUUUUAUUCUAUGCAAUUUUUUUGUCAAACAAUAGAUUUUGUUAGAUUAGAUGUUAGAUUAGCCAUUGAAGGAGUUCGAAUCCACGCUGUCAUGCAAUGACUCAACAUCUUUCCACCCUUGUAGUAAAUGAUGACUUGCUAUACUUUAUGCGAAUUGUUUCUCUAAUUUUUUUCACUAUAAUCUUAAUUUAGGAAAUUAAUGACAUGACAUGCACAAGUGCUUAUCACUGUGUAAGUGUUGUCAUUUUGGUUGUUAGGGUUCUACAUUUUUUUCCCUGUUUUAAUUCCCACCAGUGGGUGGUAUGUAGGCGAUUACGAAUUUAAUUAAUGAGUUCUAAUUUAUGUAAACGAUAAUAGGCAGACACUUGUUACUGUUGUGGGGGAAGCUGGAGGUCCAUCUCAUGACAGAGAGAUGGUGAGGACUUUGGUGGAAGGUUACAAUGGCUAUGGUGUCAAGCAUACUUGCGUGAUGGAACACAGGGAAGCGACGAAGUCUACAAAAAGAAAAAAACGAGAAGAAAGAAGAAGAAGCUGCAUCGCUUGCGAAUAUUGGAAGUUCAGUCGAGUCUUGAAACUGAAAGAGAAGAUUUUCUCCUUUUGUAUUGCAUAGUUGGAUGUACUUUAGCCUACCUAGGCUUCUUUAGUGAUAUAGAAGGAACUUUAUGUACCAAAAUCUCCAUCUGAAUUUGAUAGUAAAAUUUUACACCUACAUAAGAAGAAGAAGUAAAGAUCACAAGGAAAUGAAUGGGUCUUUAGAAUUGACAAAAAAUUUCGGUAUGUGAAAACAUUAAAAAUUGCUGUAAAAUUCAUCAGGCAAUUCCAACAUUAAAACCUGCUGUAAAAUGACCUGAUUUGCUCAAAAACUCAUCUUCAAUCAAUGGCUAGUCUAUAAUUCUGUGGAGCCCACUAGGCUAUUAUUUGACCAAAAGAGGCAUCAGGCUAGCCAAAUGUAACCCUCCUUUUAACCUUUUUUUUUUUUUGACCCAACUCUUCAGUUACAGUAAUUGAUUUAAAUUUAACGACUAGAUUUGAAAACAUCCAAAGAUAGAUAUAUUAAAUUAAUCAAUAAACUUAAACUUUAAACUGUCACUCAGUACUAUGGUUUGGUGGUAUUUCUCUUCACUUAAACUUUAAACUGUCACUCAGUACUAUGGUCUGGUGGUAUUCCUCUUCACUUGAAAGUGAUAGGUCUUAAGUUUGAAUCUUGUAGAUGGCAAACUCGAUACCAAAUUAGGUUGCUCAUUGUGUGCUUAGCCGAACUCCCCUCUCCUUCGUGUAAAAAUAUCGAUGUACUAAACAAAAAGUAUAAACUUAAAACUAAUAAUAAAUUAUUGAGGGGGCUAUGUUUAGCCUUUUCGGCCAGAUAUAAUAUAUGAAUAUGACCUGACAUUAUUCAUUUAGAAAUAUUUUUUUGCAAGACUAUAUUUUUGGAUAGGGCUAUAUUUAGCCUUUUCGGUUAGAUAUAACUUAUUCUUUUAAAAUCAUAUACUGAUUGUGUUGCAGAUGCCGCUAUUAGUCCCACGAUAAUAAAGCUUGCCUUAACAUGCCCUUACCAUAAAAUGAGAAUUAGUUUACAGUACUAUAUAUUGUGUGUGAGAAGGAGAAAUUAAGAUGCGGUCUCUAGUCACCAAUUCUCUAUGGCUGAAACCUUGUUGAAUUUCAGUUUCUGAUUAAGAUCCUUGUACUUUGUACACAUUAACAUUUUACUAUUCACAUAUUUCCAUGUCAGCUUUUUCUUUUUUGUCUUUUCCCUAUGUUAAAAAUUUAAAAUAAAAUGUUGAUAUGACUUAAUCAUAACCGUUUAAAUAAGAGGGGAAGGAAAGAGAGGGGAGAUAAUCUCCUUGUAAAACUGCUUGAAUAAUUCUUUUUACCUUUAUGGUAGGGCUGGGCAUUAAAAAAAAAUACCAAUUGAGUCGCACCAAAGGUUUGGUUUGGUUACUUUUUUUUUUUUUUUUUUUAAAUUUUCCUGGUUAAACCAAACUGCACUGAUCUUUAUCGGUUUGGCAAUCGUUUCUCAAAAUUCUUAGGGCGUGGUUAACCAAAUCGACCAACAUAUAUUAAUUUUAUUUUUUAGUCAUAAUUAAUAUGUAUAGUAAUAAAAAAAUGUUAGUUAUUUACGAGUUACAAUGUUUUCAUCACAUAAAAACAAAAUCUAUUUAAUUUAAUAGUCCCUUUGGAGAAGAACAUGGGCACCAUUUGGAGAACCCUGCAGCUGCUGCUUUAAUGCUCUCCUUGAGCUGCUUCAUUUGUGUUUUUCUUUAAGCAAUCACUCGUAUUAUUGUUAUAUUAUGUAACUUUUAAAAGAUAAAUUUAUUAUGUAUUUUUGUCUUCCACACAAACUAAAAACCAAUCCAAACUAACCUACCAUAUUCAAUUAACCGACCUGAUUAAUUUUAAAUCUAAUUUGAUCGGUUUCAGUUUGGAAUCCAAACAAACCCGCGUCCACCCCUACAUUACGAGGCUUAAAAGCCACCGUGAGGAGCAAUCAUUCUGCAUUGGGCACGUUUUCUUUGUUAGCAUUUAUGGAGACUGCAAAACCAACUUUUGGCACGAACUAUGUAAUCGGGUAAACAUAAUGUGAACGCAGACAUAAAUACCAGAAUAUUUUUGCAGUCAAUGCUUAAUGGGGCUUUAAAAGGCCACGCGUGAUGGGGUCCAAUCUUAAAUGCAAACAUAAAUACGAAAAGAAUUUGAAUACCAGAAGAAGAAGAUUUGCAGUCAAUGGGGCUUAAAAACUUAUCAAACCGAAUUUUUGUUUUAUUAUUUAAAUAAAGUUUAAAUGAUUAUAAUUAUUUAAAAAAUGCUGAAAUAAAUUUUUAUUGAUUGAAAUGUUAGUAAAACAAGCGAUCUACCAUUAAAAUGAAUUAAAAAUCAAUUUAACAUUGAUAUCUAAUUUGAUUUUAAAUCACAAAGCUUUCAAAUCCAAUAAGCAAAUAAUACUUUGGUUGGAAAAACUUUUGAUGUCAAAUAUUUACAGUAGCAUUCUACCUUCACUAGUAGAAAAAACACUAUGCGCGACGGAAACUUGCGCGACGCAGCUAAAUUACGUCCCGCAAAAUUAUUUUGCGCGACGGAGACCGACGUCGCGCAACCUGCCGUCACGCAAAGGCCGUUUGCGCGACGUUUUGUGCGUCCCGCAAGAUUUUGGCGCCAAAUCUAGAUAGCUUUGCCCAUUUUUUCAUUGACUUUGCGCAACGCAAGGCCACCUACGUCACGCAAAACAGCUUUGAGUGACGCAUGUUCACCUAUGUCACGCAAAACAGUUUUGCGCGACGCCGUCACGUAGGUGGCCUUGCGUCGCGCAAAGUCAACGACCUUUUCUUACUUCACUUAAUCAGUUUGGGAGGUAGAAACUGCAAACUAGUUGCAGCAGCUACCUCCCUCCCUCCUCUCUCUUCAAAACGAUAGAUUUACUAACACUUAGAGUUUAAUUAUAUUUUCAUUAAGUAUAACUUAAGAUUUUGUGGUAUCCACUUGUGUAAAUACUUUAAAUUGACGAUCGAAUUAGUUCAUUGUAUUCAUAUAUGGUCAAGGAGUGUAUAUGUAAAAAAUCAUCAAAAUCGGAGUUAAAACUACCGUUAAAUCGUGAUUUUUGGUUUUAACCGUCGAAAUGUUUUGUCCUGUUACUUGAUCUCUGCAUGUUCGUUUUUUGCCAUUUUUGGCGUAUGAGAUCUUGAAGCAUAUAAAAACAAGUUUGACGGUUGGAUCGUUGAAAUUAAUUUCGUACAAUGGGUUUCCCAUCAAAAUGAUUAAUUUACUAACACUUGAGUUUAAUUAUAUUUUCAUUAAGUAUAACUUAAGAUUUUGGGGUAUCCACUUGUGUAAAUACUUUAAAUUGACGAUCGAAUUAGUUCACUGUAUUCAUAUAGGGUCAAGGAGUGUAUCUGUAAAAAAUCAUCAAAAUCGGAGUUAAAACUACCGUUAAAUCGUGAUUUUUCGUUGAUAACCGUCGAAAUGUUUUGUCUUGUUACUUGAUCUCUGCAUGUUCGUGUUUUGCCAUUUUUGGCGUAUGAGAUCUUGAAGCAAAUAAAAACAAGUUUGACGGUUGGAUCGUUGAAAUUAAUUUCGUACAAUGCGUUUCCCAUCAAAACGCUUGAUUUACUAACACUUAAGAGUUUAACUAUAUUUUCAUUAAGUAUAACUAAAGAUUUUGUGGUAUCCACUUGUGUAAAUACUUUAAAUUGACGAUCGAACUAGUUCAUUGUAUUCAUGUAGGGUCAAGGAGUGUAUCUGUAAAAAAAUCAUCAAAAUCGGAGUUAAAACUACCGUUAAGUCGUGAUUUUUCGUUUAUAACCGUCGAAAUUUUUUGUACUGUUACUUGAUCUCUGCAUGUUCAUUUUUUGCCAUUUUUGGCGUAUGAGAUCUUGAAGCAUAUAAAAACAAAUUUGACGGUUAGAUCGUUUAAAUUAAUUUCGUACAAUGCGUUUCCCAUCAAAACGAGUGAUUUACUAACACUUAGUUUAAUUAUAUUUUCAUUAAGUAUAACUUAAGAUUUUGUGGUAUCCACUUGUGUAAAUACUUUAAAUCAACGAUCGAAUUAGUUCAUUGUAUUCAUAUAGGGUGAAGGAGUGUAUUUGUAAAAAAUCAUCAAAAUCAGAGUUAAAACUACCGUUAAAUCGUGAUUUUUCGUUUAUAACCGUCAAAAUUUUUUGUCUUGUUACUUAAUCUCUGCAUUUUCGUUUUUUUGCCAUUUUUGACGUAUGAGAUCUUGAAGCAUAUAAAAACAAGUUUGACGGUUGGAUCAUUGAAAUUAAUUUUGUACAAUGCGUUUCCCAUCAAAACGAGUGAUUUACUAACACUUCGAGUUUAAUUAUAUUUUCAUUAUGUAUAACUUAAGAUUUUGUGGUAUCCACUUGUGUAAAUACUUUAAAUUGACGAUUGAAUUAGUUUAUUGUAUUCAUAUAGGGUCAAGGAGUGUAUCUGUAAAAAAUCAUCAAAAUCGGAGUUAAAACUACCGUUAAAUCAUGAUUUUUCGUUUAUAACCGUCGAAAUAUUUUGUCCUGUUACUUGAUCUCUGCAUGUUCGUUUUUUGCCAUUUUUGGCAAAUGAGAUCUUGAAGCAAAUAAAAACAAGUUUGACGGUUGGAUAGUUGAAAUUAAUUUCGUACAAUGCGUUUCCCAUCAAAACGCUUGAUUUACUAACACUUAAGAGUUUAAUUAUAUUUUCAUUAAGUAUAACUAAAGAUUUUGUGGUAUCCACUUGUGUAAAUACUUUAAAUUGACUAUCGAACUAGUUCAUUGUAUUCAUAUAGGGUCAAGGAGUGUAUAUGUAAAAAAUCAUCAAAAUCGGAGUUAAAACUACUAUUAAAUCGUGAUUUUUCGUUUAUAACCGUCGAAAUGUUUUGUCCAGUUACUUGAUCUCUGCAUGUUCGUUGUUUGCCAUUUUUGGCGUAUGAGAUCUUGAAGCAUAUAAAAACAAGUUUGACAGUUGGAUUGUUGAAAUUAAUUUCGUACAAUGCGUUUCCCAUCAAAACGAGUGAUUUACUAACACUUAAGAGUUUAAUUAUAUUUUCAUUAAGUAUAACUUAAGCUUUUGUGGUAUCCACUUGUGUAAAUACUUUAAAUCGAUGAUCGAAUAUGUUCAUUGUAUUCAUAUAGGGUGAAUGAUUGUAUCUGUAAAAAAUCAUCAAAAUUGGAGUGAAAACUACCUUUAAAUCGUGAGUUUUUCGUUUAUAACUGUCAAAAUUUUUUGUCUUGUUACUUGAUCUCUGCAUGUUCGUUAUUUGCUAUUUUUGGCGUAUGAGAUCCUUAAGAAUAUAAAACAAGUUUGACGGUUGGAUCGUUGAAAUUAAUUUCAUAAAAUGCGUUUCCCAUCAAAACUAUUGAUUUACUAACACUUAGAGUUUAAUUAUAUUUUCAUUAAGUAUAACUUAAGAUUUUUUGGUAUCCACUUGUGCAAAUACUUUAAAUUGACGAUCGAAUUAGUUAAUUGUAUUCAUAUAGGGUCAAUGAGUGUAUCUGUAAAAAAAUCAUCAAAGGCUGUUUGCACGACGUUUUGUGCGUCCCGCAUGAUUUUGGUGCCAAAUCUAGAUAGCUUUGCCGCUUUUUUCGUUGACUUUGCGCGACGCAAGGCCACCUCCGACCUCCCAGCCACUUCAUCCAGCUGAUACCUAGCAGUUUGAUGUAUCAAACCUAGAAGACUACUUAUUGUAGUUUUUUCUUUUUUUGUUCGGACAUUCUGUAUGUACAUUUUCAUAUAGUUUAUAAUUAAAUACUUUUUAUUGGUUUAUUAUUUAUUUUUUAGAAUUGAAUUACAAUAUUUAUUAAAAAUUAAAUCAAAACUUUUUUUGUCCUAAAAAAAAAAAAAAAAAGUUUGCGUUGCGUGACGCACAAUCCCUAUGUUGCGCAAUUUUUUUGUCCCCAAAAAAAAAAAAGUUUGUGUGACGAAUAAGUUGCAUAGGUCGUGCAAAGUGUCUUUGCGUGACGCACAAUCCUACGUCGCGCAAGGUGGGUUUGCGCGAUGUAUAAUGGUGUGUCGCGCAAAGACACUUUGCGUGACGUAGGAUUGUGCGUCACACAAAGACACUUUGCGUGAUGUAGGAUUGUGCGUCGUUCAAACCCACUUUGCGCGACGUAGGAUUGUGCGUCGUUCAAACCCACUUUGCGCGUGACGAAGGUUCGUCGCACAAAUUUUUGCGCGACCUUUUUUGACUUUGCGCGACGAAGGACCUACGUCACGCAAAGUAUUUUUUGUACUAGUGCUUGGACUUUGGCAUCCCCUUUGGAAUGCGUGGUGGGUACAAUCUUAUUGCAUUGGGUACUUUUUUAUAUGGUGACUUCACAAUUAGCUUUUCAAUGGCAGACUUUGAAGUGAGUUCGUGUUUGUAGUAAAGAUACAGAGGACUUGUUCAGUUACAGACUUUGAAGUUUAUUUUUAUUCAGACUUUAUGGUUCAUGAAGUCUUUCUUGCCUAUAAACUAUAAAAGAAACGGAAUUUUAACUACAUCGUUCUCCAAUUAUUUUGACUGUGAUAAUGAGUGAUAAAGGUAAUUUAUAAAUUAAAUUUUUAAUAAACAAAAUUAAAAAAUGAUGGAAAUAUGUGAAUAGUAAGUGCUGAUGUGUACAAAGAACUUGACCAAAAACAUCAGUCAAAGAACUCUAAUAAUGUCCCGGUGGAGAAUGCUUAGAGAUUGACCAGAGUAGUUGUGCUUAAUAUACAUAUAUGCCAUAAAAAUAAAAAUAAAAUGUCGGUUAUGAUAAGUCAAGUUAGUCAGCCGGAAAAGGAGCUUUGCUGCAUGUUUCUAUUGAGACAGAUGCCAAAUCAUUCAAACAAGUCACUGAUUAGUCAUAACUGUAACCAAUUAGAUAUGGUAUUUGUGUAAUUAGAUUUAGAAACUAAGGGCACUAGUGUAGCUAGACUGUGGCUAUAUAUAUCAUCUUUAUUUGUUGUAAUUAUUUAAUGUGAAUGAAAAAUCAGUUUCUAUAUAGAUCAAGCCAACGUCGAUGGCUCUGUUUGACCUCCAUUUAUAUAAAAAAGAGUGAUAUUGAUUCCAAUGUUAAUUAUGUUCUACUACGUACCAACUCUAACUCACCAGCAAGUCAUCAAGAAUUAAUGUUCAAUUCUUCUGAUUCCUCUUGUGGCAAACAAGACUUUUGGAUCAAUUCUGGAAUUAAUGUGGUAUUGCAUGCAUAUUCCACACAGACAUAGUGCUCGAAAGGUCAAAGCGUAAAUCAGUGCAUGUUACUGUUAGGGCUUAUCAGUGAUGAUGCAGACUACGUACUGCUGCAGACUCCUUCCUUCCACAGUUGUGUGAAUCUGACCAUUUCAUGUCCUUUUCAUCUAAAGUUGCAAAGUGACAUUUUGUCAAAUUCUUUUGGAAAAGCACUAGGUUUUUUUUUUUUUUUUGGCGAAGGGCAAUGGCUAUUUUGAAUUACACAUUAUUUUGGAGUAUGCUCCCCUGACUCUAAAUAAUUAGUCACGAUGCGCUCAUCUGUAUACCAACAUGAGUUUGAGGAGUGCAAAACGAAAGUUUCAAGUACCAUUUUGUCCAAUUCUUAAGGAAAUCAUCAACUAUUUUAAAUUAUAUUUUAGAGACUCAAAUAAGUCAUCAUGCUCUCACAUGUUAUACCAACAUAAAGUAAUGCUAAGAUCAUCUCUAACCAAUGGGAUAAAGUUUAAAAUAUAAACUUUAAAACCCCCCAAAUCAUCUCCAACCAUUAGGCUAAAAUACGCUAUGGGGAGAAAAUAUAUCUUUAGGUUAGAUUCCCCCAUGAUUUAAGUUUGGCUUAAAUUAUUCUAAACUCACCACACUGUCAUAUUUCAAGCUUGUUUUUGUUUUUUUGUUUUUUGUUUACUUAUAAUCUAACGGCUGUGAUCAAAUAACAUCAAAUCUAACGGUAAAAAAAAAUUUUGACAACCCAAAAUUAAAUCUAACGUCUAAAAUAAUGUAAGAAAAUUAUUUAAAUAAAAUUUCACUUAAAACUUUAUAAAUAACUAUGUAUUUAUGUGAUUUUUAAUUAAGAUUAAAAUGUUCAUAAAAUAAUUAGGAUAAUCUACAUAAAUUUUAUUUUAAAAAAAGUUACCCAAAAAAAAGGCUAAAAUCAUUAUUUAAUAAUCUCAAGCUAAAAUUUUAAGCCAUAAAGAUUAGGAAAAAACAGUUUCUGAGUUAUAGCUUAAAAUUUUUUGACUUAAAUUUUUAAACUUUAUCCUCAAGGUUGGAGAUGAUCUAAGGAGGCUAAAAUUUUAAACUAAAUUAACUAAAUUAAUGAUAUGGUAGUGAUGAUUUGAUUAUUAAUUAAGUGUUGAUAACAUGCUUAUUUUUUAUUGGUGACACAUUUGGUUUGCAAAUUUAACCAAAUAUGUAGACCAAAUUUUAUGAAUCAAAUGACAUGGGAAGUUGAUAAGUAUUGAUUAACGUGUUUAUUUUUUAUUAGUGAUACAUCACAAUUUUAUGAACCAAAAAUGCAGAAUAAUUUUUUUAAGUACCAAUCAUAAUUUCUCUAGGUACAAUUAUAUAUGUAUCAUAUAUUGUAGAGCUAGCACAUCAAUAUAUAACUAGAGUUUGAAAUAGAUAAUUAGAUAUAUAUUUACAGUGUAGUCGAUAUCAUGUUAUUUUGCGCGGAAAUUAUAUUGAAAGAGAUGGAUGCAUGGAUAGCGACGGGAGAAAGGCAGGUGGUACUAUAAACACGUGAGCUGUAGUCUAUGGAUAUCAAAGACGAAAAUUAAGAGAGAAAAGCAAAAGGAGACAGGGGCAGGUGGUACUAUUGUCUGGUCUGUAUGCACUCCACAGGUUCCAAGUCCAGUCCAGGGCAGCUGGGAAUAGCAAGAUCGAGAUAUCAGAUAUGGCCAAAGUGCCGCAGUCCUUGUGGAAAUUAAGAUGGAUAUCUGAGUGAAUUUGAAGUUGGAAUAAUAUAUAAUUAGAUAGAUGCAUGGCUAGGUCUCGAUAAAGAAUGCAUUUGAAAAGUCCGGUCAGAACAUAUUUAUUUUCUUUUUCUGGCUUCCUAAAUGUGCAUUUAGUGUGAAAUUCCCCUUCUGAUUUCUGACCACCACCUUCAUUAGCCAAAUGGUUCCUUCCUGAUAUGACUACUUGGAGUAAUAUUUCAAUAUGAUUAUAAUACGGUUGGUAUACGACAUGUUUUAAUAUAAGUGGUGAAAACAUUUAUUUUUUAAGUUAUUAAUUUUUUAACGUACACAUAUCCCAUCAUUUAUAUAGUGAUGCGUGGUAUACCAUCACGUGUUCCAGUCACACCGAAAAAUCUCUCGGCUACUUGACUCCUAAUAGGCAACUAAAGCAAACCCUACCAGGCUAAUAGGUAAGAAAACCAAAUUUUUAUUCUACAAAACUCUAGACUUGUCCAACAAGAACACCCAUAAGAUAACAAAAUACCCUAACAAAAUAAUAAACCAAACAACUAACUAAUUAAAUUCCCAUAACAAUCCACUUAAUUUUUUUUCUUGCACUUUUAUGAGUCAGUCCAAUUUUUGUCUCCUUUUGUAGUUUUAUAUAAAGGAAAAUUAAUUAAAAGGGCUUGAAAACUUUGAGUUUUAAUGAUAAGGACAAAAUAAAGGGUAAAAUGAAUAGUACCAGGAUUGAUUUUUUAGUGUAAAAAUGUGGUUUUUCGUUAAAAUGAACAGUACCGGAUGCUUUUCGUUAAAAUUCCCCUUAUAUAAAUGUCGAUUUCUCUUUUUCCCAAAAUCCAUUUUUGAAUAGUUUAAGCCAAAGGUUUGGGUUGCAAGUAAAUGCCUAAUUUGUCUUCUUUAAGCCUUAUUGAGUUCGGCCCCAAACAAGUAUUGGUGAACCGAUUACGUUCGUUCGAAAUUUUAUGAUUAGAUUAUAAUGUUUGGAAUUAGCCAAACCGCAACGUGCAAAUUAUUUGCGAUUUAGAUACAAAUUCGAAACAACACAAAUCGCGCUCAGCCACCAGUCGAGACCAAUAACAUAUACCUAAUAAGAAUAUGGUGGUAAUUUUACUUACUUAAAAUAUCAAAAUAAAAACAAAAGUCUUCCACAUUUUUCUCCUCUCUUUUCCCCAUUUUUCUUUCAUAUGCAUAGUACCUGAUAAUAUAUAUAAUUCAUCCAAGAACUUGCAUGGCAAGUCUUACUAUGGACUUCUGUUAAAGAGACCAUAUGAAUCGUGUAUCUGCAUGAAAUCAAUUAAAAUAUCUAUAAUGUCGUCCCAGUAUAAACCAGUUGAGUCAUGGCUAAGAAAUUAACACUUAAAUAUCGAGUCAAAGGUAGCUUUGAAAAUGCUAUGCAAUUUCAUUAAACUGUUUGAAGUUGGAACAGAAAUUGUCAACCAAAUACUCCAGGUGUGUAUCUGACUAGUUGGUUUAAGAGUCACAAAAGAUUCAUGCGUUUGGAUUACUAUAUUUUAAUACAUUUCCAGUUUGCUUGUCGCUUAACUUUAGCGUGAUAAAGAAGGGUAAGACAUAGACCCCCACUUAAUUUCGAUUAGUUUCCACUUCGCUUUUGGCUUAACUUCGCCAAAUAUACAGAAAAUACAUUCUUUCCGUACGAAAUAUUGAAAAAAUCACCCCAAUUAAGCCUAUCUUAGUUGUUGGUUAAAAGAUUAGUUUGAUCGUUUUCAAGAGAGACGUGUUGUCGUUAAUUUAUUUUCUAAUUCUGUAUAUUCUUUAUGGUAGAUUUCAGUCAUGUUACCUCAUUUCCUAUUAGUUUCUUGUUCAAUUCUUGGAUGUUUCCUUCUGCACCUAUUGCAUUGGACUUUCUAUAUUGAAGUAAGAGGGCCAAACCGUCUAGUAUUUUUUUUAACCUACCUUAAAUACGACCACAUGACGUUAUUAUUCAACUCAAGUUUAUAACACUUUAAAUUUUUUGUACUACUAUACUUUAGAAAUGUGACAUAUCAACUUUGUCAUCCACUCAUAUCAUAACACAUAAAAUAGUAUAACAUGUGAAACUAUCCAAACCAUCAAUCAACGACUUUUACAUUUUCACUAAGUAAAAAGUAUAGAUAAUUUACAUUCUUCUUUUUACAAUUAAGAUAAUAUUCUAUAUGCAUUGAACCUAAAAUUUACUUAUCAACCCAUACCCCACGGCUGGAAUUCUCUCUUAAAAUAACAAGUUUAAAAUAGUUAAUCUAAUACAAUUAGACUUUUAUUAACAUAUACCUAAACUAACUAGUGAAAGCAAGUGUAUGAUCUUGAGAUUAUCUAGCUAGUUUAGCUCCAUGCAUAUAAAAUUCUAUCUGUUUGUUUAAUUUAUGUGCCCGUAUAUGCAUGGAUGCCUACUCCAUAACACAAAUAUCCAAAUUAAGCUGCAUUCAAUUGUUUGGUGGAUCUUACUCAAAAGUUACACGGACAUCAUUAUUAAAUUGUUUGGCAUGGAUCAUUACCUCAAAUUGUUUCGUGGAUUAUGUUGCAUCAAAUUGUUUGGUGGAUCAUUAGUACUUAAAUUGUUUGAGAUGUACUCUAGGGAUUAAUUUUAUCCUGCAAGUACUACUUAAUCAAAGGGAUUUAAUGUAGGUUAUAAAUAAUACAUGCAUGAACAUAUGUAUAAAUAUGACUAAAAUCGUACUUUUUAUAUAUACGACAUGCAUGUCAAUUAAAGAUUUUAUUCAAGCUCUGUAUCAUCACAUAUGUCUCCUAAAAUUUAGUUGUAAACAUGAUCAACAUAUAUAAAAAUAAGGUGAUCUUCUUAGUGUUUUCAAUAAUAUACGUAAGAUUUAGUUGAGACUAGCCUCCCCACACGCCUACAUGUUUGGCAAUUUACUUUAUUUUAUAUUUUUUAUAUUUUAUGUAUAGAUUUAAAAAACUGAAUUUACAUGUAUUUAAACAAAUAAAAAUAGUUAUAUCAGUAAUAUACUCCCUCUUGUACGUGAGAUAGUUUUAUUUUGUAUUUUUUUUACAGUUUUUUCCCUUUUUAAUUAAAUUACAUUCUUUAAAAAUUAAAAAGGGGGCUUUUAGACAUUUUGAAAGUUUCACAUUUUUGCCUUCAACUUUGCCACACGCCUACGCGUGUGACAAUUGAAUUUUUUUUAUUGUUUGAGUUUUAGUUAUUUUAGAUUUUUUUUUAAAAAAAAAUUGUAACUGGAGAAUGGCAAUUUGGGUAUUAUGAAAGCUUCACCAUUUUUCCUUCUCCCUAUGUAUAUAUAUAGAUAAAUGAUUCUUAUUAUACAUUGAAAACAAUCGCAUCAUCACGCCAAGAAUUUUUUGUGUACCUGAAACACUUAUCACAUCAUGUAUCUUUCUGUGUUAUGACAUGGGUGAUAAGUUUGAUCUGUCUCACUUGUAAAGUUUGUAAUUAAUUAAAAAAUAAUACAUGUGUUACAAUUUACGUGUGACUAUAAUAUCACGUGACGAUGUUCCAUCUCACACAACUUCAUACAAUCACUAUUUUUUAAUGUCAAUUUGCAUGAAAUAAUUAGGAUAUUAUAAGUGUUUGAAUGCUCAAAGGUAUUCAACAGAACUACAUAAUUUGAUCAACAAAUGUAAACGAACCAUGAAGAGGAAGGUUCCCGUCCAUGACUUACCAAUUUCGCGUAACAUGUACUAGCUAGAGAAAUGACUGUGAACCACGAUCGAAAUUUGACCCUAGCAAAGCCUUUUAGACUUGAAAUUCAAUUUCACGUGCUUCCAUCAUAUAUGACGACCCUCUCAUGCAGCCCUGGACCUCCACUAUAAAUACGAUCUGCUCUCACAUUGUUUUAGCAACCAAGCAAAUCGAUAGUAUACAAAUAUACCACCCUCAUUCUAAAACCAUCUCUUUUUCCAAUCGGCUCUCCUAACCCUUUAUUAGCUGUCGCUAAAAAAAUUUAUGGCUCCAAUAGUCUCAAAACUUGGCAUCAUUGGUGCCGGUGUAAGUGGCAUAGCAGCAGCUAAACAACUAGCCCAUUACAACCCUAUUAUUCUCGAGGCCUCUGACUCCAUUGGAGGGGUUUGGAGGCAUUGUUCUUACAGUUCCACAAAACUUCAGUCCCAUCGAUGUGACUAUGAGUUCUCUGACUUCCCUUGGCCUGACAGGGACAACACUGAAUAUCCUUCUCACCUUGAGAUAUUGGCCUACUUGAACUCUUAUGCUGAGCACUUUGAUGUGCUUAAGUUUGUCAGGUUCAAUUCCAAGGUGGUCGAGGUCCGGUUCAUUGGUGACCGAGAAAACAUUGAAUUUGGUGUCAAACCUGUGGAGUAUCGGAGUCUCUCGCCAGCUGGCGGUCAGCCUGUUUGGGAAGUUGCUGUCCAGACUAAUGAUUCAGAGACCAUUCAGGUUAGUCAAUUGCUUCAUAUCCGAAUGGUAUUUUAGGACAAUUUCAUGCAUGCCUAGGGUUCGCACAUCACUUCUUACAAUAUGUUUGUGGAAAUGGAACUCUCGGAUUAAUUACCAGAGUCUUAUAGGAAUAUAUAGAUGCAAAUAUGUUACAAAUAUUACUUUUAAUGAUUUGUAAUCAAAUUAAUGUUAAUCAAUAAAAUUAUUUGAACAUGCAAAUUACCACAAUUACGAACACUAUCCGAUAGAGGUGGACCAUACCACUGUAUUAGAUAGUGUACCAGCAAGUAAGAUGCAGUGAGAUGAUACCUAUUUCCUGCAAUUCAAAUGAUCGAUCCAUACGAGUUAUUAUCUUGGAUAUGUUAAAAUUAAGUUCUGAUUUUUAAUUUUUUUUGUUUGAAUUAAUUCAGUGGUACGCCUUCGAGUUCAUUGUGGUUUGCAUAGGGAAAUAUGGUGAUACACCCAAAAUUCCAGAGUUUCCACACAACAAAGGCCCUGAAGUAUUUCAAGGCCAAGCUCUUCAUGCUCUUGAUUACUGCAAACUGGACAAGGACGCUGCUUCUCAAUUACUAAAGGAUAAGAAAGUCGUUGUAGUUGGCUACAAAAAAUCAGCUAUUGAUUUAGCUGUCGAGUGUGCGGAGGCAAACCAAGGUAAAAGUUUGGUCCUCAAAUUUCUUACAUAUAUGGUGAAAUCUUAGGGUAAAAAUAGGUCUACAUUUCCACGUUACGGGGUUGUAAUUUGCCUGGUUACACACAGCAGAAAGAAAUUCAAGAAUUGAAAAAUAUGAAUUGCAUGGUCAUGGAAUCAAAAGAGCUGACCAAUAUAUAUAUGAUGCGUUUUGACUUCUUUUUUUUUUUGACUAAUGCUUUUUGACUUCUUUGACUGCACAUGUUUUUCAACAAAUCACAUGAAUUGAAUUACGUACAAACCAUUAGAUUUGACACUAUAAAUGUUUAUUAAAUGUUAAUUACGUACAAACCCUUAGAUUCAUAAAUAUUAAUUAUUAAUCAAUUAUUUACUAAUCAUCAACGGCCAUGCAUUCUUCACGUCACUCACAAAUUAUCCGUGUAUAAGAGAUUUGAAAUUUCGCAAUACAUGAAGAGGCCGUGUGAAUAUGUAAUAAAAAUAGUUUCAUACAAAAAAAAAGAAAAAAAGAACCUUGCAAAGACUUAGAAGGAGUUUUUUCAACGAUUCUAAAUCACAUGAAUUACCUACACACCAUAAGAUUUGACUUCAUAAAUGUUAAUUAUUAAUCAAUUAUUUGCUAAUCAACAAUCAUGCAUUCUUCAGGUCACUCAAUUAUAUUAUCUACGUUUAAGAGGUUUAAAAUUUCACGAUACAUGAAGGGACCAUGUGAAUAUGUGAAAAAGUUCCAUUAACAAAGUAAAAGAAUCUUGCAAAGACUUAAAAGGCGUUGUCACUUUCUCCGUUACCAAUUGUUUAUGGAAUUAAGACCUCGAUUUCUUACCUUUUAUGAGUCUUGAUUAUAUUGACCUGAAUUACUUAUGUUAUUCCUUUUAUGGAUGUAUUGCAGGACCAGAAGGCAAACCAUGCACGAUGGUAGUAAGGACUUUACAUUGGACUGUUCCCCAUUACUGGAUUUGGGGCUUGCCGUUUUUCUUGUUCUACUCUACAAGGUCUUCACAGUUUCUCCAUCAAAGACCUAACCAAACCUUCCUCAGAACCCUCCUUUGCUCUCUAAUUAUGUCUCCAAUGGUAAGUUAAAAAUAAUAAUUAAUCAGUUCAUAUCAAGAAAAGAAAUUAUUAAACUAAUACAUGAGAAGUGACUUAUGCACACUUUCUUCUCCCCAUACACACUUCCGGCCUUUGGAUUGAGUAAAUCCAAUGAGAAUCACGAGACAAGACUUAAAAGGGUGUGUAGAAGAAGAAGAAAAAAUGUGCGGGAAUCAUUUCCUUAAUAUAUAAGAGAUGAAUGCUUAAAGGUUUGGUUGUUAUUUACAGAGGCAUGCAGUUUCAAAAUUUAUUGAAUCAUAUUUGCUGUGGAAGAUGCCUUUGGAGAAGUAUGGACUAAAGCCAGAUCAUUCAUUUGAGGAGGACUAUGCAUCCUGCCAGAUGGCUAUCAUGCCGGAAAAUUUCUUCUCCGAGGCGGAUAAGGGAAAAAUUGUGUUCAAAAGAUCAACAUCAAAAUGGUGGUUUUCUGCUGAUGGAAUUGAAUUUGAUGACAACACUAAGAUAAAAGCUGAUGUUGUGGUCCUUGCAACUGGUUAUGAUGGUAAGAAAAAACUCAAAUUCAUCUUACCGGACCCUUUUCGCAGCUUGUUGGAGUAUCCUUCUGGUAUCAUACCCUUAUACAGGUAAACAUAGUUUUCGGAUUGGGAUUUUAAAAAUUUAUUAGUCUUAAAAAUGUUAAAAUUGGAGGGUAAAAUUUUUGAAUGCAUGUUUCUUCUGCAGGGGAACAAUUCAUCCUUUGAUCCCAAACAUGGCUUUCGUGGGUUAUCUCGAGAGUGUUUCAAAUCUUCACUCUUCUGAAUUGCGCAGCAUAUGGCUGGCCAGGCUGCUGGAUAAUAAAUUUAAGCUUCCAAGUGUGCAGAAAAUGCUUGAGCAAACAAGUAAGGAAGUGGAAAUCUCAAAGAAAACAACCAGGUUCUACAGGAGGCAUUGCAUUUCUACUUUUAGCAUCAACCACAGCGACGAAAUUUGCGAGGAGAUGGGAUGGACAUCUUGGAGGAAGAAUACUUGGUUGGCAGAAGCAUUUAGCCCAUAUGGAAGUCAAGACUAUCUGAAGAAACAUUGAACCUCCAGUUCGCGAUAACCUAUUAAGUUUAUAAUCGAGAGUUACAUAAGUACUAAGAAUAAAGAAACCCUAGCUCCUUACUGAAAAAAGUAAUGAAUUAUUGGGCCAUGUAUAAUCAAUUGUAAGACAUAUUCUGAAAUCACAACAACAAGACAUUGAGAUCACGAAUAAAUCAAAUCAAUAUAAAAUAGAGAUUGACUAAUUAUAUUAAACUUAUCUGUAGAAUACGGAAGAUAUGGUUAUGAAGAUGAAGUCAUUGAUCCUUGCAAACAAAGUGAAUAAAGUAGAACUAGUUUUCUACUUCCAGUACCUCUCAAUGAAUUCUACUUCGAAAUAGGCUUGUAGUUUUCGUGAGUUUCAGUUGGUAUGGAAGCAUGGACUAUUCUUAGGUUAUAUAGCUAGGGUUUCAACCAAUUCCUCCCUAUUAUCGGAAAGGAUAUCAACCCAAACUAUAUCUAAUCAAUUAGAGUCCCAUCAUGACUCUUAUUCCUCGUGUUUACUUAAUAAAGGCCCUUAAUUGAUUGCAUGUAAUUAGGACUCCAAUAUGCUUAUUUUCUUAAGGCACCAAGAGUCCUAGAGAUUUCAUUAACUUGAUUGACAAGUCAACUAUUCCCUCAAUUAUUCUAGGCAUAAUUCAUUGCCAUUCACAAAAUGGUUUUACAUUCUCCCACUUGAAUGUCAAUGAGAAUACCUCAACGAGAUAAAUAUAUAUGGUGAUCACUUGAGUCCACUAAAGUAUGCAAUCAUACAUUUCAAGUAACUUGUCACUUUGAGACAAAGUGCAGAACCAAAGAAAACAAGGGCCAAGGCACACAUUGGACAGUUCCUUGCACUCCAUGAUUACAUGCACACUUAACUCAAAGCACUAUGUUACUAACAAAGUCAUGAUAUCAAGAGCUAAUAGUCAAAACAUUAGCUCACAAUAGUCGAACUAAAAACAUGAAAAUAUAUUUCAGUACAAAAGUAGUUCACAAAAGAACUCAACAAGGUUGGUAACAACAUCCAACUUUUCUGUCAAUUUAGAAUACGAUAAGAGAACAAGUAAAAUACAACAUACUAUUUACAAAAUCAAGACCUCUUAUUAAAAUUUACUCUUAACAUAUCAGCCACUAACACUUCAAAUUUUUAACACAAAAGGUAAUCGCUUACUCCCACUGAUGAAUAGAGAUAAAAUUAUAUAGAUAAAUUAUUUUUACUCCCACUAAUUAAAAGAGUAAAACAAAACUUUGUAAAUGUCUACAAAAUAAAACAUAUACCUGUCAAAUACUCCCAUUAGCAAAACAUUAGUCAUGGGAUCUAGAACAUAAAAUUUGUGAGCUCAACAUCUUUAUUCUAAAUAUCUGUAGGGAAGUGACUCUUUGAUAGAAAUAGAAAACUUUAACUAAAUGUUUUCUUAUUGCAUCAAAAACAUAUUAUUACAUAAUCAUGUUUAGACAUAAACUAAUUAUAUUAGGUUUGCAUAGCUAAAACAUAAAAUACAAGGGCAAACGUAUAUAGCUUCAACACUUUUGAGCAAAUGAAGUAUUUACAAUCUUAUCCAGUUCAACUAUACAUUGAUUAUAGUUGAACUGGAUAAGAAAAUACUUUUGAGUAGAUUAAUUAUCCAUCAAUAACUUAUAAAUCACAAAUCCAAUUUCUUGAACAACAAACAAGAAUUAAUAAGCAAAACACUUUUGAGCAGAAUAUACUCAUUAACCCUUAUUGAAAUUCCUGCAAUAUUAGUUGCAUAUAUAACAAAUAAAAUAUAAACAAGCAUGAUAAUGUACGUUUUAUCUACCAAAACUAUGACCAUUAAAAGCAUGCAACAUUGAUGAGUGUGAAGCCCAUAAUACAUUAUUUCUCCCACUUGGGCAAACACUCAAAAUUGCAAGAUUAAACACUAGAGAAAGUGGUUUUCAUAUACCAAAAUAUAGGCUAGUUGAAUCAAUAAAGAUCAAAUACAUAAUUUUUUUUUAAAGUAGGUUAGAAUUAAAAAGUUCCAUAAAUAAAAACUUAUGCAAUGACUACAAAUUUUUAUUUUAUUUUAGUGUAUAAGAGGAGACUCACAUAUGUAUUAAAGAUUAGGUCAUAAAUUAAAAUAAAACCUAAUAAGAGAAUCCAAACUCAAAAUUUAUGUUUUAAUUCUAAAACAAGGUCAAUUAAAAUAAACACUUAGAUAUCUCAAUAACAUCAAUUUUCCAACAAUAAUUUUAAUCCAAUUUAGAACUCAGAGAAAAUUAAGGCAAAAGAUUGGCAAAUUUACCUACUCAUUCUCGAGAGAUUCAUCAUGGAAGUAGUUGAGUUGUGGAGGAUCGAACCAACUACAAAUUGCAUGAUUGUUACACCUUUGGGCAUAAACUAAUCAUGCAAAGAAAAUAUCAGCAUAGCUAGCCAAAACAUAAAAUACACAAAAUACAUAUAGCUUCAACAACUUUGGCCAGAUGAAAAUAUGUUAGAAGUACUUUAUGUUGCUAUAAUAUUAAUUUAUAGUUGGUAAAUGAUUUCUUGAAAUUCCCUUUGGGACAAAAAUAUUCACCAUAUAAAUUAGAAUUCUGAUUUUUUAAAAUAAUCCUUUAGAAUAGUAUUAAAUAACCGUUUUGUUGAAUAUUCAAUGAUUCUCAAAAGAUUCAAUCAGACACAAAAAUAUGUCUUUAUUGACAUUGAACAAUAGAGUUCUCGAAAGAGGAAACAUGGUUAUUCAGUUAUUCGAUAGGGACCAAAAUGAUCAAUUAGUAAACUGAUGUCACUUUCCAAUUUUCUCCCAAAAGACAAUUAUCAUCAUAAUUAGAAUUGAUGACCAAACAAAACAUUGGUUUAAGAAAAACAAACCAAUAAAUCUUUAAAUCAAAAUUUAAUCAGUGUUUUCUAAUAAAAGUCAUUAGUAUUGAUAAUUUGCAUAAAAUAAGGACAUAUUGGAACCAUAAACUUAUAUAAUAAUUGGUACCAAUAGCUGUGCACAAAUCAGUGAAACAAUAUCACAUAACAAAACUAGUUUUGAAGUACCAAAAUUCAGCAGUACUACUUUAGUUUGCAAAUUCACUAAAAACUCAAUUCUCUUUAUAUUGUAAUGAAAAUUUUUAGGUAUACACCAGACAUAUAUGGCUACUAUUUCAAAAAAAAAAUAUAAGCGAGCCAAAAAUUAAUUCAAAAAAGAGAGGUGCUGCAGAAACUACAGAAAAUGUUCAGUACAUACCUAAGAUUAAAAUUCACUUAAAAAUUCAUUUUUCAUCCAAUGUAUAUAAAAAUUUCAGAAAUGAGGUAAACAUAUUGAUCUAACAUAUUCCAAAAUUUCAUAAUUUUUGAGUUUUAACAACUGUACUAAAAGAAAAUUCGAAAUGGGAUGUGCUGCAGAAACGGAAAACAUUCUACAGUACAUACUCGAGACUAUAAUUCACCAAACAUUCAAUCUUCCUUCAAUAUGCAUGAAAAUUUUCAGAAAUGAAGUAGACAAAUAAAUGUACUGUUGCCCAAAAAUCCAUAAUUUGUUCGAUUUUACAAGUGGAUUAAAAAUAAAAUCGAAAAGGAUUGUGCUGCAGAAACUGCAUAAAUCUGCAGUACAGUCCCGAGGUAAAAAAUUCACCAAUAAUUCAUUUUCUCACCAAUGCUCGUGAAAAUUUCCAUAUUUAAAACAAACAUCUCAAUGUAUAUCAUACUCAAAUUUCAUGAAUUUAUGAGUUACAUAGGUCUAUCAAAAUAAUAUCACAAACAGACUAUUCUGCGGAAGUCUGUAGAAUUCCAGCAACAAGGUAUCACACUUAAAAAUUUACCAUAAAUCCAUUUCUUAUAAAAAAAAAUGGAAAUAUUGCCAGCGUCUACAAUCCAUUCGAUAUUACAAGAUGACAAAAUUUCAUAAUAUUUGGAGUUAUAAAGGUCUAUUAAGCCCAGGUUAUUGACAUGAAUAGUUUUCCUUAUGAGAAUUACCUCAAUUAUAUAGAACACUAAAAGUAAUAUUCAUUGCAAUAAUAGAAGCGACUAUCAUUUCAUAGAGAAAUAACCAAGAACCAAAACUUACUUAUUCAUUUGCAUAUGCACUAUAUGGAUAAGAGUCGAAAAAUGCAAAAUUGAAUUAAUCCAAAUUUGAGAAUUAAAAUAUAUAAUUAAUUCCUUUUAAUGAAACUUUAAUGGAGAAACUUUAAUGGAGACACGACUUUGGCUGUUGGUGACAAGAUUAUAAUCAUACCCCCAUAAUAAUUAUAGUUUGAAAAGAUUAUAAUUUAGCAUGAUUAAUUUUGACAAAAGUUUAGGCAAAAAUAAUUCACACCACAAUUGAAUUUCUUACAAAAUUGAAAACCCCAAUACGAACCCACUGAAAGCAAUUCAUAAUAAUGUAAUUAAUCACACAUCAGAAUUAUGACAGCAAGCAGUCCUUCGUAAUACAAUAAUUAUUUGUUUAUAUAUACGUACCUUGCCAAAUGGUUUCACCAAUCGGUUCAUCAAAAUCAAACAAAUUGGGAAUGCCUUUUAGAACAUGUUAAUUAACAAUAGUAAAUCCAAAUUUUAAAGCAUGAAAGCAUGAAAUCCAACACAAUAUUCAUCCUGAAACCUCACAUAUGCAAGGGUUAAUUCAAUAAUUUGACAGAAUCCUAACAAAGAACAGCCCAAAAUAUAAGCAAACUAACCAAAAUUUAAUUUUUUUUUAAAGGCUAGAUUUUGCAACGCAAUAAACAGAAGCGUAAAUUCUCAACUUAAUCAAUUUUGAGAUGGGGAAAUUAAAUAAGAAAAUAAAGGUUGAUUGCCCAGAAUCAACGACACCUUUAUCUAAUUCUCAAUUUAGUUGGAACCAAAAGCUUAAUUUUAACUCAACCAAAUUAGGUAGACUAAAUUGUGAGAUUUCAUAUCUUUUCAAAGAGAAUUCUUACUGAAAAACGCAGAAUAUAUCCAAAAAACCGUUGUUGAAGAGUUUUGUGAGAGAGAACUAAAAACCUCACACGUGAGGGAGAAGACCCCGUAUUGUUUCAACGCCAUAUCCCACCCUUUUUUUUAAUUAAUAAUAAUUAAAUAGAAUUAUUGCAUCUAAAUCGAUAAUAAGAGGAUUAUAUAAUAAAUCCAAAUAUCAUCCAAGAUUAGGUUUGGGCAAACACCAUCAAAACCUGUAAUUAUUUUACAAAAAUUCUUGCAAUUCGAAAAGAAACCAUGUCAUAAUGCAAUUCGAAACGAAAUUUUCUUUUCACUGUGAUGUACGAAAACAAUACUGACCUUGAUUAUAUACAUGCUUUUAUUCUUCCACAAAAUAUAAACAUAAUAAACUUAGUUAUUACGCGAAUUGAUACAAAAUUAUGGAAGCAUGUUAACUGAUUUCAUAGGAUCAAAGAGUAGAAAACAUCCAACCAAAACAAUAUUAUGUAGGCAAACAACUACCUUUAAUUAACCCGAACCCUAAGCUUGUUGUGUGGCUCUGAUACCACAUGUAAGACAUAUUAUGAAAUCACAACAACAAGACAUUAUGAUCACGAAUAAAUCAAAUCAAUAUAAAAUAGAGAUUGACUAAUUAUAUUAAACUUACCUAUAGAAUAUGGAAGACAUGGUUAUGAAGAUGAAGCCAUUGAUCCUUGCGAACAAAGUGAAUAAAUUAGAAGUAGUUUUCUACUUUCGUGAGUUUUAGUUGGUUUGGAAGCAAGGACUAUUCUUAGGUUAUAUAGAUAGGGUUUCAACCAAUUCCUCCCUAUUAUCGGAAAUGAUAUCAACCCAAACCAUCUAAUCAAUUAGAGUCCCAUCAUGACUCUUAUUCCUCUUAUUUACUUAAUAAAGGCCCUUAAUUGAUUGCAUGUAAUUAGGACUCCAAUAUGCUUAUUUCCUUAAGGCAACGAGAAUCCUAGAGAUUUCAUUAACUUGAUUGCCAAGUCAACUAUUCCCUCAAUUAUUCUCGGCAUAAUUUCCCACAAAAUGGUUUUACAAUAAUUUCUCCAUUGUUUACUUGUGAAAUUCCCACAAAAUUAUGAGCUGCUCGCAAAGUUGCCAACUAAUUCACGUAUACAAAAAAUAACUGAUUGUUAUAAGUUAUAACCCUAUUUUGUGGAGAUGUAAUGUCACAUCCCAGUCCGCAUAAUAAGAUAUUGUCCGUUUUGGGCUACGCCCUCACAGAUUUGUUCUUGGGUUUCGGCACGAGAACUUCCCAGUGAGUCACCCAUCCUAGGACUGCUCUCACCCAAACUCACUUAACUUCGGAGUUCUUAUGGGAUCCAGUGCCAGUGAGUUCCAAAACGCGUCGUGCAAUGGAAGGUGAGCAUGUACAUAUAAGGCAUAGAAGAUCCUCUCUCCUGGGUGAUGUAGGACACUACAUGUAACACACAGAUGGAAAAACAAGUAGCUAAAAACCAUGAGAGCUUUCGAAGUAGUUUGAGCUAGAGUUUCUUCGAUAUGAUUCUCAGGCUGGAACUGGUUGGUUUAGAUGAGUUGAACCAAACCAUUUUUGUCCAGAACACGUUUGUCUCCCAGGCAAUGUCCCCAGCACAUCCGAUUACCCUCAUCGCGUGCAAACAUUUAAAAUCAUAAUCAACCUCAAACAUGAUUUGUAGUGGUUAUGCAUUCAAGGCAUAGUGCGAGAUUACCAUACAACAUUCUCAAGCUAUUGAAGGGUUUAUUAUGUGUUUAAAUCGUAGUCCCCCUCCGGUGCCUUCUCUUUCUAGGGCUCUACCGACUGCUGAGACUUCUCCUAAGCAACUUUUGUGAAGGCUUCCUCUUGUUUGUUUAUUUUGACUCAUGUAUAUGUACAUAUUUGUAACUUAUCGGAGAUAUCAAUAAAUAAGCUUUGCUUCAUUUCAACGUACUGUGUUAAAUAUACCAAAGCCUUAUUCACUGAGUAGGGUCGGCUAUAUGAAUCUUAGAACGCCAUUAUGCUCGGUCCUGUGUCAUGUCCUCCGUUAGAUCCAAAUACGCUAAGUCUUUUCUUAGAGUCUCUUCCAAAGUUUUCCUAGGUCUUCCUCUACCCCUUCGGCCCUGAACCUUUGUCCCGUAGUCGCAUCUUCUAAUCGGAGCGUCAGUAGGCCUUCUUUGCACAUGUCCAAACCACCGUAACCCAUUUUCUCUCAAUUUUCCUACAAUUUCGGCUACUCCUAAUUUACCUCGGAUAUCCUCAUUCCUAAUCUUAUCCUUUCUCGUGUGUCCACACAUCCAACGAAGCAUCCUCAUCUCCGCUACACCCAUUUUGUGUACGUGUUGAUGCUUCACCGCCCAACAUUCUGUGCCAUACAGCAUCACCGGCCUUAUUGUCGUCCUAUAAAAUUUUUCCUUGAGCUUCAGUGGCAUACGGCGGUCACACAACACACCGGAUGCACUCUUCCACUUCAUCAAUCCAGCUUGUAUUCUAUGGUUGAGAUCUCCAUUUAAUUCUCCGUUCUUUUGCAAGAUAGAUCCUAAGUAGCAAAAACGAUCGCUCUUUGGUAUUUCCUGGUCUCCGGUCCUCACCCCUAACUCAUUUUGGCCUCCAUUUGCACUGAACUUGCACUCCAUAUAUUCUGUCUUUAAUCGGUUUAGGCGAAGACCUUUAGAUUCCAACACUUCUCUCCAAAGGUUAAGCUUCGCAUUUACCCCUUCCUGAGUUUCAUCUAUCAACACUAUAUCGUCUGCGAAAAGCAUACACCAAGGAAUAUCAUCUUGAAUAUGUCCUGUUAACUCAUCCAUUACCAAUGCAAAAAUGUAAGGACUUAAUGAUGAGCCUUGAUGUAAUCCUACAGUUAUGGGGAAGCUUUCGGUUUGUCCUUCAUGAGUUCUUAUGGCAGUCUUUGCUCCUUCAUACAUAUCCUUUAUAGCUUGGAUAUAUGCUACUCGUACUCAUUUCUUCUCUAAAAUCCUCCAAAGAAUGUCUCUUGGGACCCUAUCAUACGCUUUUUCCAAAUCUAUAAAGACCAUGUGUAAAUCCUUUUUCCCAUCUCUAUAUCUUUCCAUCAAUCUUCGUAAGAGAUAUAUUGCCUCCAUGGUUGAGCGCCCUGACAUGAACCCGAAUUGGUUGUCCGAAACCCGUGUCUCUUGCCUCAAUCUAUGCUCAAUGACUCUCUCCCAGAGCUUCAUUGUAUGACUCAUUAGCUUAAUACCCCUAUAGUUCAUGCAAUUUUGUAUGUCGCCCUUAUUCUUGUAGAUAGGCACCAAAAUGCUCUUUCGCCACUCAUUUGGCAUCUUCUUCGUUUUCAAAAUCCUAUUGAAAAGAUCAGUGAGCCAUGCUAUACCUGUCUUUCCCAAGACUUUCCACACUUCGAUCGGUAUAUCGUCUAGGCCCACUGCUUUUCUAUGCUUCAUCUUCUUCAAAGCUACAACCACUUCUUCCUUCCUGAUUCGACGAUAAAAGGAAUAGUUUCUACACUCUUCUGAGUUACUCAACUCCCCUAAAGAAGUAUUCCUUUCAUGUCCUUCAUUGAAAAGAUUAUGAAAAUAACAUCUCCAUCUGUCUUUGACCGCAUUCUCUGUAGCAAGAACAUUUCCAUCCUCAUCCUUGAUGCACCUUACUUGGUUUAAGUCCCUUGUCUUCUUUUCCCUUGCUCUAGCUAGUUUAUAGAUAUCCAACUCUCCUUCUUUGGUAUCUAGUCGCUUAUACAUGUCGUCAUAAGCUGCUAACUUAGCUUCUCUCACAACUUUCUUCGCCUCUUGCUUCGCUCUUCUAUACCUUUCACCAUUUUCAUCGGUCAUGUCCUUAUAUAAGGCUUUACAACAUUCCUUCUUAGCCUUCACCUUUGUUUGUACCUCCUCAUUCCACCACCAAGAUUCCUUUUGGUGUGGAGCAAAGCCCUUGGACUCUCAUAAUACCUCUUUUGCUACUUUUCGGAUACAACUAGCCAUGGAAUCCCACCUUUGGCUAGCUUCCCCCUCUUUAUCCCACCCACACUGGGUGAUUACUUUCUCUUUGAAAAUGAUUUGUUUUUCUCCUUUUAGAUUCCACCAUCUAGUCUUUGGGCACUUCCAAGUCUUGUUCUUUUUUCUCACUCUUUUGAUAUGUACAUCCAUCACCAACAAGCGAUGUUGAUUAGCCAAGCUCUCUCCCGGUAUAACUUUGCAAUCCUUACAAGUUAUACGAUCCCCUUUCCUCAUUAGAAGAAAAUCUAUUUGUGUUUUUGACGACCCACUCUUGUAGGUGAUCACAUGUUCUUCUCUCUUCUUAAAGAAGGUGUUGGCUAAGAAGAGAUCAUAUGCCAUUGCAAAAUCCAAGAUAGCUUCCCCAUCCUCGUUUCUCUCCCCAAAACCAUGGCCACCAUGAAAACCUCCAUAGUUGCCUGUCUCCCUGCCCAAGUGUCCAUUUAAAUCUCCUCCUAUAAAUAACUUCUCCGUCUGGGCAAAUCCUUGCACCAAGUCUCCAAGGUCUUCCCAAAAUUUCUCCUUCGAACUCGUAUCCAACCCUACUUGAGGUGCGUACGCACUAAUCACAUUGAUGAGUUCUUGUCCUAUUACAAUCUUAAUUGCCAUGAUUCUAUCUCCUACCCUCUUGACAUUUACAACAUCUUGUGUCAAGGUCUUGUCCACGAUGAUGCCAACACCGUUUCUCGUUCUAUUUGUGCCCGAAUACCAAAGUUUAAACCCUGAGUUUUCUAGAUCCUUUGCCUUAGGGCUAACCCACUUAGUUUCUUGUAGGCACAUAAUAUUUAUCCUUCUACUCACCAUAACUUCCACUACUUCCAUAGAUUUUCCUGUUAAGGUUCCUAUAUUCCACGUUCCUAAACGCAUUCUACUCUCUUGAACUCUACCCUUCUGUCCUAGCUUCUUCACCCUCCCCCGUCCCAUAGGAUCAAAGUUCUUCUUUUGUUUGUCCUGUGUAAAGUUGAUAGGAGCAUAUGCUCCCAAACAACUUUGAGUUGACUCGUUCGAAAAGAAGUUUUUAUGGCCCCCUUGCUCAUUUAACACUGCAUCCGGGUGCCGAUGGAGAUACAGCGACCCUUGCUCACUUAUCACUGUGCUCGGGCCACACAGCGCGCCACUUACGGGUGACGCCCUAGCUUUAGCGCAAUUUCGUUUUGGAUUCAUUUUCAUAAGGAUUCGACGUAAUUGAGGAGUGCUGGCUGUCGACUACCUGACGCCCUCCCCCUCCUCCUUUACCCGGGCUUGGGACCGGCAAUGUAAGAUAAACUUACACAGGUAGAGUUAUUUUUUUUUUUUUUAAAUUAACAUUUAAAAAAAUUUCAACGGACUAUUAUACACAAAUUAGAACCAGAUUAUUGCCAUCCGUAUUUGAUCUUCAGUUUUUGUAAUCUCGUUAGUAAAUAUAAAAUACCAAUUGAAAAUUUCCACAGUUGACUUACAAAUAACAUCUCACUUGAGUUUCCUUGCUACCAAAUAUCACAGUUGUUUGCCUUAUAGGGCAUAGUUUCCAUUAGUUAUAACCAGAUUGGAUUAUACAAAAAUAACUACUUGCUAACCCUGUUUUGUAGAGAUAUAAUGGACAUAGGGAUGGAAACACAAGCAGCUAAAAAGAUGAGAACUAAUUUAGAGGCUUUGAAGUAGUUUGAGAGUUUCGUCGAUAUGCUUCUCUGGUUGGAAUUGGUUGUUGUAGAUGAGUUGAACCACCCCAUUCUUGUCCAGAACAUAUGUCUGUCUCCCGGGCAAUGUCCCAAACAGAUCCGACGGCACUCCCCAUUCUUUCCUCACCUUGUUGCCCUCAUCGCUUAGUAAUGUGAAUGGAAGUUUGUACUUCUUUGCAAAAGCCUACAAACAUUUUCAAUUGUAAUCGACUUCGAGCAUUGAUUUGUAAUGCUUAUGCAUACAAAACUAACACGCACAAAUUAUAAUUGUUGGCUCACGUCUUAGUAGCUUACAUUUUCAAUUAAUUCGAAAAACCAGCAAAUUUAUCCUUACAUCUGUUGAAGAAUCAUUGUGCAUAAUCACCAAAAAACUCUUUUGAAAGCAACAUAUACUAAGCCUUAAUGUGAUGACACCACGUGAUAUAAACACACAAAACUUUCACAUUACCUUGUGUGAUGAGAUGUGAUGACACUACAUGAUAUAAACACACACAACUUUCACAUUACCUUGUGUGAUGAGGGGUCAUCACCGCUAAUCCCGACAACCUGGGCACCGGCCUUUUUAAACUUCUCAUAAGAAUCUCUGAAAGCACAAGCCUAGAGGAGUAUCAAAUUGUCAGUGUCUGCACUAACUAAAGGCACAAUCUAUCUGGCAUUAUCAGCUCCAAUACAUAUUUCAUAUCAUAACAAUCGAAAAUUUACCAGACAGAUAGCAGAAGUCAUUGGCCAAAACUAAUCCAGGAUAAGCAUAUUAAGCAUAAACAAACUUCAAAAUAAGUGGAAUUAGAACAUGCUAAACAAUGUGGUUAAUUCGAACCUGUUUAGUGCAGCCAGGGGUCUCAUCAGCAGGGUAGAAAUAUAGAACCACAGGCUUUCCCUUGAACUUGGAGAGGCUCACUGUCUUUCCAUCCUGAUCUUUCAAUGUGAAGGCUGGAGGAACCUUACCCUUGUCCACCUGUCCACAAACCAACCAACCAUAACCAAUUAAUAAAAAAAAAUGCAGCCGUCGUAAGGGACUCGUAGCUCAAAUGAUUAAAAGCCUUUAUCCAUGCACCCAUUAAUACGAAACACAACAUAUAUAAGCAAAAUGUACCUUAGCAGAAAUGAACAUCUUGCCAGAGGAAGAUGAAGGGAUUGGCAGAGUGGAAGAAGUGGAGAACUUGAGGCCAUAGAACGGGGAAUGUGAAGAGCUGGAGACAAUUGGGAGGGUUUGAGAAGAUGGGUAGCGUUUGGGAGUUAGGGUGCGAAGUACAGAGGGGAAGGCUGGGUGCUUGGGAACAGAGAGGGAGGCCAUUGGAUUGGAUUGCACUAAAUUAAACAGAGAGAAAUAUGAAGUGUCCUCCUUAGUUUCUCUGUUUCUCUGGUGGGUUUUUUCACAAUUGGUGGAGGAAGAUAAGGGAGGGAGAGUGUUGGGUG